rnacentral:lncRNA from 1 species
GCUGAGACGAAAAUCAAGAAUUAGAUAACCUGUUAGUUUCUGUAACGACCCGGUCCUAAAUAAAUGUUUAAUUAUUAAUUAAACAUGAUAAAAGACCAUUUGCCCCUAGAAUAUUUUAUUAGGUUUAAAGUUGACUUUUUGACUGAGAAGAGAUUUGAGAAUUCCUACUGUACUGGUGCGUAGGGCAUGGCGAGAUGAGUUCAUAGACACGUGGUGGGUUUGAAUCGGAGUUGUAACAAGAGAGAUACGAUCAAAAUACCCUCAGUGGCAUAACUAUAAUUUUGGAGAAAAGGGUUUGAUAAAAAUUUGGCUUCUCUCUCUCUCUCUCUCUCUCUCUCUCUCUCUCUCUCUCUCCCCCGCAAGUAAAACCCCCAUUCGUUUUCUGCAUAGCCGGUGGCUUCUAAAAGCCACUGCCGCCACCACCGUACACGACCGGCCUCGAGACCGAUCUUGUUUGAACCGUCGCUUCUCCCCCUUCCUUUCCUGACCAGCCCCGCCCCUGGAACCGGCAGAUUCCGUCGGAAAAAGCUCGGAAUCGAGCUGGAUUUGACAGAAACUUCGUCGGCUUUGUUCGCCGUCGUUCGACCACCAUUUCCGACGAUCUAGGUAUGGAUUUUGAACCUCUCGAGCUGUUCUUGCUGCUUGUUGUUUUAGAUUUGAGAGAUUUCUGCGUUUUGAAGGUCGAUUAAGCGAUGGAAGUUUGGCCGAUUUUCGGCUUCCGAUUCCGGCCACUUCCGGUCACUUUUUGGGGUAGGUCCAAGAACAAAAGUGGUUCCAAAUAGGGUGUUAUACCUAGGAUAGGAGUCUUGAGCCGUGGUUUUGAGAUUUUUCGGCGAUGCGUAAUCGCUUUGGACACCCACGCGUUGUCGGCGUGUGUGGCGGCGCGUGGGCACUGUAGAAAAGGGGCAUUGUGUCCCGAUGCAAUCCCCUUGUUGUCUCGAGUGCUUCAGUGUGCUCGAAUUUCAAUUUGGUUGACGUUUGAACCCUAAACGGAUUUCGCCUAUUGUGCAUUAUCAGGGUUCGAUAGGUUUGAACCGUUGGAUCGUCUUGAAUUCAAUAUAUGUUAAUCUAGGAAUUUCUAGGAUCGUGUAGGAAUUCAUGGAUCGUGAAUCGGAGCCCGGAUGUUCCGAUUUAAUAACUUAAAGUUUAUGUUUUACAAGAACCGUCUGAUUGUUCGAUCACGAGUGAGCCGACCGUUCGCUCGGGACCAAACUUACGGGACGUGUAUCCUGAACCUUGUAGAACCCAUAGUAACUUUCAGAUCAGAAUUUGGAGGUCGUGGGCCCUGUGGGCCCGUUUAACCAAGUUGGGGUAGUUGGAUACCUCGGUUGACCGUUAGUCUUACAAAGUAGUUUCACCCUUCGGAAGGUAUUAAGAUAACCUUUUUAUUGAAUCUUAAUUGUUAUUUGAGGUUAAAUUGGAAAUUGAUUCGAUUUAGGAUUUUCUUUAGAGGUUGUUGCUUAUCAUUAAUUAAUAUUAUUUGAUUAUAAAUAAAGUAUAAUGUUCUAGUUGUGUAAUACAGUAUUUUAUGGAAUUUGUGUGAAAACAAGCGUUGAAUAAUAUUUAAAUUGUUCUAGGAUCUUUAUGAAAUUUAGGUUUAUGUGCAUUAUCAUUGGUUAAAAAAAUAAUAUUAUUUUUCUGAUUAAAUUACGUUGCAGUCUACUAUAGACUGGUAUCACUAAAUUGGGAAUACCUCUAUUAUUAGUUUAGAUAAUUGAGAGUAUGUCAGUUUGAAAUACUAUACGCACUACCUUAUGUACCUCCUCGGAUAUUGAUUACACUGUAAGCACUAUUCUGUGAUUGUUAAGUCCCACGUGGAGUAGGUUAUCCAGCGUGAGGACAGACCUCAAACGUGGCGUUGAAUGUUCCGGCGUAUAGGGGAGAUUAUGUGAUGGUUAGGUCACACGUGGCGUAGGUUAUCCGGUGUGUUGAUAGACCCCUUACGUGGCGUUGGAUGUUCCGGUGUAUGGAGAGAUUUUGUGUUUGUUAGGUCCCACGUGGCGUAGGUUAUCUGGCGUGAGGACAGACCCCAUAUGUGGCGUUGGAUGUUCCGGCAUAUGGGGGAGAUUAUGUGAUGGUUAGGUCACACGUGGCGUAGGUUAUCCGGUGUGUUGACAGACCUCAUACGCAGCGUUGGAUGUUCCGGGGUAUGGGGAGAUUUUGUGAUUGUUAGGUCCUAGGUUGCGUAGGUUAUCCGGUGUGAGGACAAACUCCAUACGUGGCGUUGGAUGUUCCGGCGUAUGGGGAGAUUUUGUGAUUACCAGGGAGAUGAAUAAAGGAUUGUUAUGUUAUAUUGGGAAAGACAUGUUUGUUGAAAGAACUACGUGUGACUUGAUCCCUUAGUAAGGGUACGUAGGCAACCUAGGGUAAAGCAUAGGUGCAGCCGCGGGCUAAACUUUACUUAUGUUGUUUUAGUGAGUGGGGUGUUGAAUUUGUAGUUGGUCUUGAAAUUCGUAUGGAAAUGAGACUUGAUUAAAAAAGUUAUUCUAUGUUGAUUACAGUAGGCGUUCAUAAAUAAGUUUGAGUUGGUUAUAUACUUUGUUUAAUGCAUUAAUUUGCUUCAAGAGCAUUGCUGGCGGUUCUGUUUCGAGUUAUUUGAAGGCCGGAGGCCGAUUAUGUGAAUUGCAUGAAAUUAUCUUGUGUAUGCUGCCAGUUGUGGAUAUUAAAUGUGUUUUAUGCAGGUUGAAAUUUUUGGGAUUGUUCAAAUUACAGGGGAGACUCUGCCAAAAUUUCGGCAGAAAGUCUCGGGCCCUUAUUCCUUUUGGGAAAAAAGGAUAUAGUUUUAGAAGUGAGCCCGACAUCGGGAUGAUGUCAGGAAUUUUCACAGGAUUCGUCUCGGGUUUCGGGAAAUUCGAGGCAGGUCCUGUCAUUUUGUGACUUACGUUGCAGGUGGUUGUAAGGGUAGCCGUACGAAAUAAAGUUAUUUGGUUGAGUAAUCUAUAUGAACUCUCAAUCAUAUACUCGUCUUAAGCUUGUUCUCGUGUUCUCUGUAAUGUACGCAUUGGAAUGUGUUCUCUUGUUAUGUGAUAAAAUGUGAUGUAACUUGCUCAAUACAUAUUAUGUCAAAAAUGUUUAGUAUGGCUAGGCUCCUUAAAAUUGAGGGGGAGCACAUCCUCACAACAAAUGAGAUUUUGGCACUAGUUAAACUUCAAAAAAAAUAUAAAUAAAUAAAAGAGGUUAAAAGAAUUCAAAUGAAAAAAAAUUAAAGGAAUUUGCCAAGUGAGAAACUGCUGCUCAGUUUUGUGGAGCCAAACUUUUUCCUAAUAUUAAUGGAGUUCAUGUAUGACUCAUUUGUUUUGUGUACCAAAUUUAAUGAAUUGUGCAUUCAUUGGUGGACCCAUAAGAUAUAGUUUUUAAUUUAGGUGAGAUAUUCUCGGCAAUUUAAAUCAUGUCAAAAACAUGAUUUCAAAAAAAAAUCAGCCGUCAUCGAGUUUGUAGAUAAAUAAAUAAUAUAUAUGGAUGAACGUAAGCUAUAGAGAAGAACAUUACCAAGAGCUUUCGUGCUGAUAAUGUAUUGUGAAACUAGGAAUUUGUUGGGAGAAAUAAGAGGAAGAAAGAGAGUAUAAUUUGCUCGAAUAAACUUAUAUUCCAUUCAUAUUUGGUGCCACUACUUAUAGGGGUAGAGAGGCCUAAAUCAUUUACCACCAAUAAUUGGUAGGUGACAAAUAUAUAAUGAUGAGUGUUAUGAUAGGUUAAUAGUGGCUAUUAUUGUGAGCAUCCAUAACCUAUAAACCCAUAACGUAUGGAUUUAUAACACAAAUACGUUUAUUAAAUAAAAAAUAAUUAAAAGCUAAAAAGAAGAUAAGAGUCUAUGUCCAGCAAGAAUUCUAUAUAGAUUACUGUUGAGGCCCAAAAUGUCAUAAGAAGCUCAAGGAUAUUUAAAGUUCAAUAUAACAUAUAAUGUUGGCCAUGCGUUAAUCCAAGCUGUAUUUUGGGAAUUGAUUCAUUAAAUAAACAUAGAAAUAGUGUACAUGCCAUGCCAAUCAAAUAAUAUAUUUUUCUAUGCUAAACCACCUAACAAGCUUAAGUGGACCCAAGCCACAUAUAUGUUUGGGGCUUGCUGAGCGGAUUGUGGUGUGGAUGGUUACAAGUGUUCAUAAAGCUCGUUGAAGGAUCAAAUAGUGGAAAUUUUACGGCUGCUUGGGAGUACCAAAAUUCAUAUAUACCCACUUUCUUGAGCCUAAUUACACGAGUAAGCAGAGAGGGAACUCCCAGCCUCUUCCAAAACUCAAACCCACUUUCAUUACUAUGCACACAGUAAUUACUGCACACUCAUGGAGAGACCAAUUGUUGAGCACUGUCCAUUCAGGGAUCCUUCCUUACACAAUCAUUCUUCAGCCUAUAAAUAGACCUUCAUCCCUCCUUGCAAUACACACACCGAAACCAGAAGAAGAACGGCAGGAGGCAAGCUCAUCCUCCCACUGCCGUCUAGUAGCUAUGCUUGUAUCUGGUCUCGAUUUGCAUAUCUAUUAUUAGGUAAAAUACUUUGAAAAAGCACAAAUAGUUUGUGGACAUGAGCGAUAGAUACUGUGGCUAGAUUGUCAACAAUGACAGUGUGAACGACUUUUCUUCAUGGUGUGCUUUAGCUACAUCUUCUACCCUUCUGCGUUGGUCACAUUCAUGUAAUCUUGUACAUGAAGCAACGUACCACAAAGGCUAUCAAAACUUUAAUAACUGUGGACUAGAAGGAAGCAAUAUAUAGGUCCUACUACCUGUGCAUUUUUGCUUGACUAAUAGUUUGAUGCUUAAGGUAAAUCCAAUACAAUUAGUGUAAAUGUCCUUUUACUAUAUAAUUAGGUAUAUCCAAUACAAAAUAAAUCUUUAAUCUUGAACGUAUUUAUAUAGGGGAUUCUAUGACUCACAAAGAAAACCUACGGAUACAUUUGGGUUAUGUUUAAUCUCAUUUUCUCUUUUGUAAUUCCAUCUACUUUUUAUAAGAAUUUGUUUGAAACAACUUAUAUAUAAAAACUACCAUUGUUUUUAGAUGAUUAUUGUGGUAGGAUGAAAUCAACAAAAUAGACAAACAUGGUAUUUCAAGAAAAGACUAUAAUAACAACUAUCUAAUUGAAUGAUCAAAUGGUUUCGGAUCCAAGUGAUUAUCGCAGAGAUGAUCUUUGAAGAAAUAUCUAAAAACUAGAUGGUAUUGGAUUAUUGAAAUGCAUGGUGAGUCUUAUAAGGGUGUCCUUCAAAUAAGCUUAUUUGAGAAAUCCCUCAACUAAAGCCAUAUCAAUCUCCUUCUCACAAUAUAUAUAUACACACCACACCUUUUGUGAAAAUCUAAAAAUGCUAAAUUAGGAAUGAAAACUGACAGUUAAAGAACUCUCAUGAUCACUCUACAAGAUUGUGACCUGAAUGAUGAAUCAGCAGCUUAAGUUUUACCCAAUUUGCCACAUACCAUCAAAGUAGGGGUUGAUUUGGCGUUCUUUAGCCUUUAAUCACCACAAGAGUCACAAAUUCUUCUCUUCUGUCUCCUUAUCUUUCCAACCCCACUGAUAUCUCAGAAAGGUCUAUAAAUAGGGAGAACCAAGCCACAUUAUACUCACUCAGCAAUCAUCUCUUGCAUACUUUCAUAUAUACAUUAUCGUGCUUGUUGUUAAGCAAAACUUGGCAUCCUCAAAGGCUUGUCUUCUUCUUGGUCUUGUCUUUGCUGUUCUCUGUUGACGUGAAUCUCCUAAUUAAUGAAGGAGAUUUACUUCCUUGAUUAAUUAUGGGAUUUACUUUCCUAUUUUUUAUAUAGUUGAUAAAUCAUUGUAUAAUUAGGAGAUACUUUCUUAAUUCUUUACUGUAUCUAAUUCCUUGUAUAGCACCCCGUAAACUCUUAUAUAUACCUCUUUAUGGAGAAGAAUAAAGAUAACUGUUGUGAUAUUUAUUGCAAGCGCACAAUUCGCACAAGUAAUAUAGUGAUGAGUGAAGUGUCGUUCCCACGAAGAGUGAUUUAAUUUACCAAGUACCGAUUGUGAUUAACCCAAGACUUUAUUUGAACAAUUGAUGAUGAGAUUUGAUUGAUUAAUUAACUAAAACAAUGAAUAAAAACAAGCGUAGAAAAAUAAAGUAGUGAGAUUCAAGUUAUGAGAGCACUAGAGCUUCCGAUUUCACCAUAGCCAAUUCUACCCAAUUCCCUUAGCAUGUUAAUCCUAAUUAUUCUCUAUAUUGACAGUUGAUUUUCCCUACUUUAUUCGAUACUCCAUCCCUGGUUAUACCAAAAGGAUUCUUAUUACCAACCCACUCUAUCCCUAGUAAUGGAAUUAAGAUAAUAAGAACCCAUUAAAUUCCUUGGAAACCUACAAAACAACCACAUAAGUCAUGACAAACAUCCCUGUCUAAUCAUGUAACUCAUGGUAUCUAUUACAAGAAGCAACCCCAAAUUGGAUAUUCCUAUCAUCAAUUUAGCAUCAAAACAAUUAAAUGUUGGCCAAACAUUCAAAGCAUUAAGCAUGGUAAUAGAUACUCAACAUGGAAAAAUGCUUGGAAUUAACAUUGACUAAAGUAAUUGAGUAUUCAUGGCUAGGCUACAUCGUAGCCCUAGCAAGAAGAAAUUAGUUCAUGACAACUUUAAUAAAAACCAUGAUAAAUAAUAUCAUAGGAAAGAAGUAACCAAUUGAAGAUUUGAUCUCUGCACGACAGCAACUCUAGCUCCAGGUUGUCUUUUUUGUCUCUCUAAAACUCUCUCUCUCUCUCUCUCUCUCUCUCUCUCUCUCUCUCUCUCUCUCUCUCUCUCUCCUUUGAGUGUUUCGGCGAUGAGUAUGAAUGUGUAGGGAUUUUAGGGUAGAUGAUGGAGGAUGGAUGAUGGGUAAUGGAUCCUUUCAACAAUGACCUAAACUCCCUAUUUAUAAAACUCCUAGAAAUCCUACCUAAGGAAUAAUUACAAUUGUUAUAAAAAUAGGAUUCCUUCUAAAAUAAGGUCUUCUUUAUUUCUCCUUGUUUGACUUGAUAAGACUUGCACCAUCUUGAACUAGGAAAUUUGACAACAUUCCUUGCAACAAAAGGAAUGACUUGGCUUCUUUUUAAUUGAUCUUCAUCUUCUUGCCUUUUUUUAGCACACUUUCUCCUAUUUCACAAUUCCUUCACAAAUCUCACAAAACCAAUUAAAAACAACCAAUUUAAUCCAAGAAAUUAAUAAAUAAAUAAGCAAAGGAGGCAUAAAAUAUAUAUAUAAUAUAGACUUAUCAAUAACCUAAUACAUUCAAACCAUAUUCAUAUUUUAGCAUGGUAUCAGAGCAAUCGAUCCUCGGUUGUCUCUAAAUUCUCAUAUCAAAUUUUUCUUCAAACACAAACCAUAAAUCCUCAUAUCAAAUUUCUUCAAACACAAACCCUAAAUCCUCAUAUCAAAUUUCUUCACACCCAAACCCUAAAUCAAAUUCCUCAUAUUUAUAGCUUCAGAUUCAGAUCUUCAUACCCGAAUCCUCAUAUCCUCUUAUCACAAAACCCUAAACACAAAUUUUUUUCUCUUAUCACAAAAUCCUAAACACAUCUUUUUCCUCUUUUCUUAAAUCUUUCUGCUGCCAUGAAUAUUGUCUCAUCUUCCCAAACCACUGCCUCCACUUCCCCAUCCUCCAUAAUUGCCACAACAGGUUCCCACGGUUAUGUUUUGCAUAGUUCUUCAAAGAAACACAUAUGGGUCAUUGACACCGGAGCCACUGAUCAUAUAACCUUUGAUCCUGGAUAAAAUACCUCUCAUACCCCGUCUUCUCAAUCGGUGGUGUCUAAUACCAAUGGUACCCCCUCCCCAGUAAUUGGGGAGGGUUCCCUCUCUCUCUCUGACUCCCUCACUUUGGAUUCUGUAUUGAUUGUUCCAUCCUUACAUCAUAAUCUCUUAUAUGUUGCCCAAAUUACUACGGCUUUGAAUUGCAUUUUAACCUUUUGGCCUACUCAUUGUGUUUUUUAGGACAUUCUCAGCAGAAGAUGAUUGGUUGUGGUACUAGGACGGGCAAACUCUACUAUCUGGACUUGGCAUCUGACAGUGAAGCCAGCCUCAGUCAUGCUUACAAAAUUGGGGGUACGAGUGUUGAGAAGCAAACUUUCGGAGUAUGGUUAUGACAUCGCCGACUUGGACAUGCUUCAUUUGGAUAUUUACAGAAGCUAUUUUCUUCCUUAUUUUCCCAGUUAGAUAUCUUUAGUUUUAUGUGUAACAUCUGUGAAAUAGCCAAGAGCCAUCGUGUUUCUUUCCCUUUAAGUUCACAUAAAAGUUUGGUUCCUUUUUCGCUUGUUCAUUUUGAUGUUUGGGGCCCGCUAAAAUUACCACUCUUGGGGGAGCUAGAUGGUUUGUCGCGUUUAUCGAUGAUUGCACACGUAUGACCUGGGUUUCCCUUCUUCAAACAAAAGGGGAAGUCAGUUCCAAGUUUCAACAGUUCUAUCACAUGGUGGAGACAUAAUUUCAUACAAGAAUUCAAGUUCUUCGGUCUGACAAUGGUGGAGAAUUUCUCUACCAUAAUCUUACUCAAUUCUUACAAGAUCAUGACAUCAUACAUCAAUGCUCAUGCCCUUACACUCCCCAACAGAAUGGUGUGGCUGAACGAAAGAAUAAACACUUAUGGAAGUGGUUCGUGCCUCUCUCUUUGGUGCCAAUAGCCUCGGUCUUUUUGGGGAGAAGACGUCCUCUUUGCAGCAUACCUUAUCAAUCUGAUUCCCUCCAGUAUCCUUAAUUUCCAAACCCCCCUUCAAACACUCUACCACCAUAUCCAAAUACCUCAUACCAAAAACCUAGAACCACAGAUUUUUGGCUGUGUGGUCUUUGUCUUCUUACAUAAUCACUAAAACAAUAAAUUGAAUCUCCGCGCCAAAAAGUGUGUUUUUAUUGGUUACACACCUCAUCAGAAAGGUUACCGGUGUUAUGAUCCUCCUAGUCAGAAGGUCUAUACUUUUAUGGAGUUGUGUUCUGAGAACACGACAUAUAUUUUUCAGCCAUACAGGAGGAGCAUUGCGAUACCAACACAUCUCAAAUUUCAAGACUUUUCCUUUCAGAAUGGUCACAUACUGAAAACGACCAGUCGCAGAAUGCAAGUGACCGGUCGCCGAAGACUCUGCCUGAAAACGACCGGUCGCCUAAGACUCUGCCUGAAAGCGAUCGGUCGUCCCCCGGAAAUAUGAAUCUGCUUUAAAACGACCGGUUGUCUCCUUGUUGUCAAACUCAGGAGGAGAACAUUGAGGAGUUUUUGCCCGCUCAGGAGAAUUCUUCAACUCCAGUACCCCACCAAUCACCUGCUGAGGACGUCAUUCAGGUAACCUCUUUUCCUGAAACUAAUAAUAUUAAUGAAAUAUCCCAUGAUGAUUUAAUUUCAAAAGGCAUAUAGCCUACAUAUUAGAUUCCAAAACGGAAGAACGGUGGAAAACCUUCAGUUCACUACGAAGCAGACCUUAAUGCAAAAUGGAAAUAUCCCAUCAACAAUUAUGUAUCCAUCAGCAGAUUAUCAGAAUCACGGGUACACUUUGUGAAGCAGUUGGAUGACAUACCUGCUCCCAACAAUGUAACUGAAACACUAGAAGACUCAAAAUGGAAAGAAGCCAUGAAUGAAGAAAUGCGAGCUCUCCAGAAGAAUGACACAUGAGAAGUCGUGCCAUUACCUCACGGAAAGAAGACUGUCGGAUGCAGGUGGAUUUAUACUGUGAAACUAAAAGUAGAUGAAUCCAUUAAAAGAUAUAAAGCUAGAUUGGUGGCGAAAUGGUACACACAAAGAUAUGGGAUAGACUACCAUUAGACUUUUGCCCCAGUAGCCAAGAUUAAAACUAUCAGAGUUCUUCUAUCUUUAGUAGCAAAUCUAGAUUGGCCAUUACAUCAGUUUGUUGUAAAAAAUGCAUUCUUACAUGGAGACUUGGAAGAAGAAGUAUAUAUGGACUUGCCACCAGGAUGUAACUUAGCUCGUGACAAGGAGAAUCAAGUUUGCAAGCUCAGAAAGUCAUUGUAUGGGUUAAAGCAAUCCUCUAGGGCAUGGUUUGGCAGAUUCACUAAAUCUAUGAAGAAUUUUGGAUAUAUACAAAGUAAUGUAGAUCACACCUUGUUAUUGAAGCAUGAUGGAAGAAGACUUACUGCACUGAUUGUUUAUAUGGAUGACAUAGUCGUAACUGGAAACGACACAGAAAAGCAAUUGAAACUGCAGAAAUAUUUGUCUCAGGAAUUUGAGAUGAAGAAUCUAGGUGAUCUGAAGUACUUUCUAGGAAUUGAAGUAGCUAGGUCCACAACUAGUAUAUUUCUGUCUUAAAAGAAGUAUGUAUUAGAUCUGCUCACUGAAAUAGGAAUGCUUGGAUGCAAACCUGCUGAUACACCCAUCGAGAUGAAUCACAAGUUAUGUGAAGACAUGGAUCAAGAACCAACCAAUAAGGAACAGUACCAACACCUUGUUGGAAGGUUGAUAUAUUUAGCUCACACAAGACCAGAUAUUGCAUAUGCUGUGAGUAUGGUUAGUCAGUUUAUGAAUUCACCCAGUGUGUCCCAUAGGAAUGCAGUUGAUCGGAUCUUAAGAUACUUAAAGUCAGCACAUGGAAAAAGGGUUAACAUUCUAAAAAAAUAGAGAUCUCAAAGUUGUUGGAUAUACAAAUGCUGAUUGGGCUGGCUCCGUUACUGACAGACGCUCUACUUCAGGUUACUUCACUUGUGGGAGGUAACCUAGUCACUUGGCGGAGUGAAAAACAAAAUGUGGUUUCUCGAUCUAGUGCUGAAGUAGAGUAUUGAGGAAUGGCUCACGGAGUUUGUGAAUUACUAUGGAUCAGAAGACUAUUGACAGAAUUGGGGUUUAAGCCAGGAAAGCCAAUGGAGUUACAUUGUGAUAACAAGUCAGCCAUCGAUAUUGCCCAUAGUCCAAUUCAACAUGAUCGAACUAAACAUGUUGAGGUGGAUAGACAUUUUAUCAAAGAAAAACUUGAGAAGAAGAUCAUCCGCCUACCGUUGGUAAAAUUAGAAGAUUAGUUGGCAAAUAUCUUAACCAAAGCUGUUUGUGGAAGAGUAUUUUCUGACUCACGUACCAAGUUGGGCAUUGGUGACAUAUAUGCACCAACUUGAGGAGGAGUGUCGACUUGAGUCUCCUAAUUAAUCAAGGAGGUUUACUUCCUUGAUUAAUUAAGGGAUUUACUUUCCUAUUUUUUAUAUAGUUGAUAAAUCAUUGUAUAAUUAGAAGAUACUUGCCUAAUUCUUUACUGUAUCUAAUUCCUUGUAUAGCACCCUGUAAACUCUUAUAUAUACCUCAUUAUGGAGAAGAAUAAAGUUAACCUAAUACAUUCAAAUCAUAUUCAUAUUUUAGCAUUCUCCUCAUCUCCUCUGAGGUCUCAACUACUCCAACUCGUGAGUUUCUCACUUUAAAUUAGUAAUUGUAUAUAUUAAAUUAGUAAUUGUAUCUUUCUUUCCAGUAACGAUUUGUAAAUUUAGGCACAUUUUAAUUAUAAGGUGCACUGGUCUUGAAAAUGAUUAUGCUUCGAACUCUUUUUCUACAUGAAGGGCUAGUGGUUGCACCUGCAUGGCUUAAUUUGCACCUUAUGAAAUACAAACCUAGCUAUGAUUGUUAUAAGUUAUGUAUAUUGAUUUUGCUUUAUAUAUAAAGUUUUUGUUUGUUCUCUCAGAGGAGAGUAUAGUGGUGGCGGAGCCACUUCUAGGCCAGGAGCGGCCCUGGUCCCUCUAUUUUUUUGACUUCUCUCCUAUACUAUAUAAUGUAAUAUAUACAACUUACUAAUAGACAACUUGUAAUUUAAAUUAAUGGCCCCUUUAAAAAUAAUUAGGCAUGACUAAUUUUGAAAAUUUUAGCUCUAACAUGUGUUUUGAACACUUAUAUGUAUUUGAUAUACUUGUGUUUUCUAUCUUAGCCCCCUCAAUCUUAAAUUUCUAGCUUCACCCGGUGAUGAUUUUCUAGAUGACCAUGGUGAUGGACGUGGAGGGUAUGGCCACAGACAUGGAGGGUAUGGCCACAGACAUGGAGGGUAUGGCCAUGGCCACCACGGCAAAGGGGGGCCUUGUGCUGCUAAGACUAAAACCAAGAAUUUGAUAACCUGUUAGUUUCUGUGACUUACGUUGCAGGUGUGUUGUAAGGGUAGUAGUACAAAAUAAAGUUGUUUGGUUGAGUAAUCUGUAUGAACUCUCAAUCAUAGACUCGACUCGUCUUAAGCUUGUUCUCGUGUUCUCUAUAAUGUACGCAUUGGAAUGUGUUCUCUUGUUAUGUGAUAAAAUGUGAUUUAACAUAUUAUGUCAAAAAUGUUUAGUAUGGCUUGGCUCCUUAAAAUUGAGGGGGAGCACAUCCUCACAACAAACGAGAUUUUGGCACUAGUUAAACUUCACAAAAAUUAAAAAAAAAAAAAAAAAAAGAGGUUAAAAGAACUCAAAAGAAAAAUAAAAUUAAAGGAAUUUGCCAAGUGCCAAAACUCUAUUUGUUUUGAGGAGGAACUACUCCUCAGUUUUAUGGAGCCAAACUUUUUCCUAAUAUUAAUGGAGUUCAUAUAUGACUCAUUUGUUUUGUGUGAUCACCAUUUGGUUAAUGAAUUGUGCACAAAAUUUAAUAGGAUACGGAUCAUCUGCUAUGAUUUUAGUCCUCUAAUAGGAUGGAUCCUACUUUGGAGCACAUGUGGUAUUGGUAGUUCCUACUCGCAUUUACAAAUACAUAUUGGUUGGUCCAUUAAAAUGCAAAUAUCACCUCUCAUAUCAUUAUGCGAACAUUGGGAACAAGAGUAGUGUUUCCACCGUUGACAAGGGAUUGGAAGAUCUAGCUCGACGGAAAAAUAAGGAGUAAAACUUAUAGAAGCAUGCAUGCCGUGUAUGUAUUGUUGUUAUCAUGGCGAUACUAAUUUGGCAAUUAAUUUUCUAAUGGGUGAAUUAAAAAAACAUUUUUAAUCUAUAUAUGUAAAGUUAAAUAUCCUUAUGGUUAAAUUUUAAAAUAACCCAUUUAAGAAAAAUUUCAAAACUCAAGUAUUAAUUCAUUUUGAAGGGACAGAUACAUUUAUUUAAAAAAUAAUAAUGAAAAGGAGAUAAGAAUUUAUGACCAACAAGAAUUCUAUAUAGAUUACUGUUGAGGCCCAAAAUUAAUGUCAUGAGAAGUCCAAGGAUAUUUAAAGCCCAAUAUACAAUAUAAUAUUGGCUACGCGUUAAUCUAAAUUGUAUUUUGGGAAGUUAUUCAUUAAAUAAAUAUAGAAAUAUUGUACAUGUCAUGCCAAGCAAAAUACAUUUUCCUAUGCUAAACCACCUGACAAGCUUAAGUGGACCCAAACUACAUAUAUGUAUGGGGAUUUCUGAGUGGGUUGUGGUAUGGAUAGUUAUAAGUGUUCAUAAAACCCGUUGAAGGACCAGACAAUGGAAGUUUUAGAGCUGCUUGGGAGUACAAAACUCAGACCCACUUUCCUGAGCCUAAUUACAUGGGUAAGUAGAGACAGAACUCCCAGCCUCUUCCAAAACUCAAACCCACUUUACUGCACACUCAUGGAAAAACCAACUGUUGAGCACUGUACAUCCCUCCUUGCAAUACACACAACGAAACCAGAAGAAGAACGGCAUGAGGCAAGCUCAUCCCCCAACUGCCGUAAACACACAAAGCCCAAGCCUUCCUCCAUUCUCUUCUUUCAUAACACCACUCCAAGCCCUGAACAUCACACGGAAAACCAUCCCAAAACAUCCCAACUCCCGAAAACACCACAUGCAUCUCACCUUCAACAUAUCUUAUUCCAAUCCAAGCAGCAAAAGCACUCUCUCUUACUAAAGCCUUCUACCUUUGAAGCAUGAGUAUAUAGAUAUAUAAAAAGGUAGAAGAGUACAGUAUUUGUACUGUAUUGACCCUUUGUUUGUCCAGGCGGUCUGAUAGAUGUUUUGAUAUGUAAGAUAACGAUCCAGAUUGAGCGCUAACUUAUCCAGGGUCGAUGAGGCCAACAAAGUUUACGAUAUUUGCCAUUUUUAAAUAGUCAAAUAGGUACCUAAAAAUAUGAAAUUCAAUUAAAUGAAAUUUUAAUUUAAAAGAAAGGGAAUUGUAAAAAAAUUGGAUGUUUAGAAUUACCUUAUGUAUACUGCAAUCACUGUGGAUCUGAUCUCAAUCAUGGAUGCAAGCUAUAAAAUAUCUUCAUACAAGAUGAAGGUAUCAUGCUCAUACCCAAACACUUCCCCUGGAAUGUUAACUCUCACGGUCUCGUUCGAAGGCAACUUGGUUUGGAAAAAUUGGCAUAGGGCUAAUAGAGGAGACAGCAAAUCCAGCUUUGAGAAAUCCUGAUUCAAUAAAUAAAGAAAGAACUAUAAGAUAGCUUGCAAAAAAGUAAAAUAAAUGACUCUAACUAAACCAUCCAAACCGUCGUGGUAUUAAAAUAUUAACGACGGUGAUUUGAAAAUACUGACGUAGUAAAGAAUCGAAACGACGGUAAAAAUAAACCGCCUUUGUGUCAACGUUCUAACGUCGCAAAACUAGAAAAAGGUCGUCUAGAAUAAAAUGCAGUGAAGAUGGCUUGUAAAACAAGUAAAACAAAUGACGCUGUUUUGGUUAUUGUUAAUACUUAGAAAGGCAGACAUUUGUAAGCUGGUAGAGAAAAGGAUCACAUACCACCAAGCUUGUUACGGCUGUUCUUUAUACAUAUUCUGUUUAUCUGUUCUAUUUGUACUUGUGAUGCAGGGCUUUUUGUUUCUGUUCCUCUUGUCACAAAGAAUUUUUAUUUUAUUUUUGUUUAAGAUAUUAUGUUAUUAUGUUCUUUAAGACAACUUACGCGGCUACGGUGUUCAUUGUUGUCAAGAAAAAUUAAUGGUCAUGACCGUUAGAAGUCAGACCAUUGAAAUCCAUCCUUUUUAUUUAUUUAUUUAUAUUUAUAAAUGUGGUCACAAUUUUUUUUUUUUUUAUAACACAAAGGCGAUAGUGUUUUAUUAAUUAAUGAGGAGAAAAGGGUAACAAGUACAAAAAAAUCAGACAAAGACCUAGCGGAUUAGGCGAGUACUCUACACCAAUUCAUGUUUUCACAAGCACUUUUUAAAUGUUUUCACAAUCUUAUCAGAAAUCUUGUCAUAUAUGGAAUAUUGUCUCUAAAUAGUAAUUUAAUUAAAUUAAACAAUACAUAGUUGUGGAAUGUAUGAGUGUUGUACCAUAGUUUUUCUCAAAAUAAUAAAAUAUGAAGGAUCAUAAAACUUAGCCUUAUAUGGUUGGAGAUGGAAAAAUUUAGCCAUGCACUAUUCUUUAAAAAAUUAAUAUUUUGGACGGCUAAAUUUUUAGCCCUGGACUACAUUUGGCCCUAUGACUGGAGAUGGCCUUAGAAUCCAUACACAAGUUUAACAUACACAUAUCCUUUUCACUUAAGUUUAACAUACAUGCUAAUGGGGGCUAACUCAGUGGAAAAUGACAUUGAUUUACAGACUAGAGGUCUUAGGUUCGAACCCCCAUAGCAUCUUAGUUGUGUGUGUAAGUUUAAACCAACGCUUGUAUUAAAAAAAAAAAAAUUUAAAAUACACAACCUAUUGUUGAUGAAAAAUUAGAAUCCAUUAAAAGGUCAUGUAUUAAAAGAAGUACCAUUUCUAUAAAAUAAUAAUAAUAAUAAUAAUUUAAUUCUUUUCAGUUAAAUUUUCCAAAAAUUAUAGUAGUUUUCUCUAUCACAUACCUAAGUCAAAAGUAAUGGAUAAUUUGAAUAUCUUUAUUAAGUAAAGCCCAAACAUAUCUUAGAAAUCGACAGUACACACUCAUUAUUUGAAUUUUGAAACACGGACUUAUCAAACCCAGUAAGGCCCUCCCAUAAGAAGCAAAACAAGCUCUAGUUCUUUCUUCUUUCUCAUACGUACAAUCCGGACUCAGGCAUGGUGGUGCCGGAUCAAUGAAAUAAAAGCAACACUAUCUUUCAUGACUUUUCCAACAUGUGUGAAGCCAUCUUCUUUUUUGUAGACGAGAUCCACCAUUCUUGUUAAAUUAAGAACAAGUACAAGGACAGGCAUUGGCACAGAGGUUGGCCUGAGGAACUCCUCGUUGAUAUCUUUCCACGAAUCCACAAUCUGUUUGUGGAACUCCUCUCUGCAGCUUAACUUAUAAAUGGGAUUCCCUAAAGUAUCUCGAAUUUCCAAAUUCCAAUUCAAACUCUUCACCACCAUCUCCAAAUACCUCCACCUCAAACCUUGAACCGCAGAUUUUCGGCUGUGUUGUAUUCGUACACUUACAUGAUCACCAACGCAACAAAUUGGAUCCGAGUGUAGAAAAGUGUGUUUUCAUUGGCUAUGCCCCAUAUCAGAAAGGUUAUCGAUGUUAUCACCCUCCAAGUCAGAAGGUCUAUACCUCCAUGAAUGUAGUGUUCUAGGAACACGAUAUAUAUUUAUCAGAAGCACAUGAGGAGAAUCUAGACCCAAAUACCCUGAAUUUUCUGGACUUUUUAACAACGGAAGAGACUCAGCAUCAAAGCAAUCGGUUGCCUUUCCAAAACGACCUGUCGCCUCCCUUUGAUAGUGCAAAAGAGGCGUCUCUACCUCAAAGUGACCGGUCGCCUCUCCCACACAACUGGUCGGCCCCCUAUAUUCCUUCACAAGCGGAGCCACUAGUCAAAACAACCGGUUGCUUUGCCCAAACAAUUAUCGAUUGGUAUGCUCUAUGUAUGUUAUUGUUUGGUAUAAUUCAUAUAUGACAGUUGACUAGUCAUAAGAGUAUUUGGUUAAGAUCUAGAGUGUGUGAAAUUUGUUGCGUUCUUGGUUGAAUAUCUUUUAAGUUUACCCCUCGUCACCUAAGUACCAAUUUCAAAACCAUAUGUAUAUUUUAGCAUAUUUUGCAUUUGGACCAGUAGCCACAUAACAUGAAGAGAAAUUAAUGGAGGAACAUCCACAACGAAAAGCAUCAAUUAAUUUAUUGAAUCUGAGGGGUACAGUUGUUUCUUCCCAACUUUUUGAACAAGAAUUGCAUAUUAAUUCAGUUAUGUAAAAGGUUGCAGGUUGGUGAGUCUGUGUAACGGUGGACAAGAUAUAAUGGGUGAAAAGUACGUAGAUUAUUCAUCAAUUGGUAAGAGGAAAUAUUUAAGCCAAUCAACUCAUCAAAUGUUAUUUUAUUCUACUAUUUUAUACUUAGGACACCUCAUCAACUCAUAUAUAGCAGCCCUUGAUACAUUAAAAAAAAAAAACAAAUAAAAAUACCACUUCAGCAGGCAUGGGUUAGGCCGGUUAACAGUGAGUCUGUCCCUUUACACUUAAGUUUGAAUUCUCCUUUUAUAAUUUAGAUUAAUUUAGAGUACUUUAAACUAUUACUUAUAUAUUUAUAUAUAUUAAAAAAAAUGUCAUUUGAUUCAGUUUUUAUACAUAAAAUAAAAUUAUGGACUCAUAGCAGCCCUUGGUACAUUAAAAAAAAGAUUAAACAAAAAAACAGCAGCCCACUAAUAGACGUUCCACUAUAAAUAGCACAAUACAACACCUCUUCAACUCAUAGCAGCUCUUGAUACAUUCAAUUAAGAGCACAUUGAUCAUUUCCUCGCACUUAGGAAUAAAAUGUCUGCUCAAGUUUUAGCUGCAUCCCAAGCUCAAAGCCCAAAUGCGAUUCCUGAUCAUUUUAAGCGAUGUUCAGCUAAUUUCUCUCCCAGUACUUAGGGCGAUUAUUUUCUGUCAUAUGCUUCUGUGGUAGGAAAUUAAUUAAUCCUAACAAUUAUUUAUGGGCUAAUAAUACUCAUCAUGUGCUAUAGCUGCGUCGUAUAUUUUGAAUAUUUUAUUAUUAUAAAUUAAUUUUGAUAACUUCCAUGCACCAUGAAUGAAGGUCAUACUUUCCUUAAUAUCCUUUUCAAUUUGUUCGUGUAGGAAACAGAUAUCAAAGCAGAGCAAGAUGUCCAAGAACUGAAGGAAAAAGUGAAGGGGAUGAUAAUGGCUCCAAUGCUUAAAAAUCCAUCAAAAAAAUUGGAGUUAAUUGAUGAGAUUCAGCGGUCUGGUGUCUCCCUCCAUUUCGAAAAUGAGGUUGAGGAAGUUUUGCAACAAAUUCACAAGAACUCUUACGGCGGUGAUGAAGAAAAUGAUUUUGACCUUUUCACAAUUGCUCUCCGUUUCCGGUUGCUUAGACAGCAAGGUUACAAGGUUUCAUGCGGUUAGUCCUCUCUCUCUCCCCGCGCUCAUAUGUUUUGUUUUAUAAUUCUAGAUUAAUUAAUUUUCUUCUUCUAUAAUUUUCUUCUUCUAUAUCUCUCUCUCCUCGCUCACAUGUUUUGUUUUAUCAUUCUAGAUUAAUUAAUUUUCUUCUUCUAAGCUAGCAGACAUUUUCAACAAGUUCAAGGACGAUGACGGGAAAUUUAAGGAAACACUUGUGGAUGAUGUAGUAGGACUGUUGAGCUUGUACGAAGCCACACAUCUUAGGAUGCAUGGAGAGGAUUUACUGGAUGAGGCGCUCACCUUCACCACAACUCAUCUUGAGUCAGUGGAAGCACACCGUUUAAGCCCCUUGCUUGCAAAACAAGUAACCCAUGCCUUGUAUCAACCAUUCUGGAAGGGCUGCCAAAGGCUAGAAGCAAGGCGUUACUUGGCUAUCUUUGAGGAGGAACCUCAUCCAGCAAAUGAAACUCUCCUAACUUUGGUAAAGUUGGAUAUAAACCUAGUGCAGCAAGUCCAUCAGAAAGAACUAAGUGAAAUUUCAAGGUUAAUUAAUAUACAUACAUAUAUAUUAGUGUUCAUCAGUAUACUAAUUAAGUUAUUAUUAUGUAAUUAAAUGAUAAAUUCAGGUGGUGGAAGGAUUUGGACUUUGUAAACAAGCUUCCUUUUGCAAGAGACAGAGUAGUUGAGUGCUACUUUGGGGCUCUGGGAACCUAUUUUGAGCCCCAAUAUUGCUUUGCUAGGACAUCAUUAAGCAAAGUUUUUGCUGUGACAGAAGCUAUUGAUGACAUUUAUGAUGUGUAUGGCACACAAGAGUAGCUAGAGCUCUUUACUGAAGCUGUUGAAAGGUGUAUUGAAAUCGAAACCCAAUUAAUUUAUAAGUUGUUUAGAUUAGUCAUUUAUCCUUCUCUAAAUACUGAAUAAGUCAUCACUAUAUCCAUCGGCGGUCCUGAGAAAUUGAGGGCCUUGUGUGAAACUUAAGCCCUCACAUAAUCUAAUAUAAAAAUACUAAAUUUUUUUUUGCCAUAACAUAAUGUUAUAAAACUAUUUUUUUAUAACUAAAAUUUAUCAUCAAUUAGCAUGUAAUAACAAAUACAAAUCAAUAAAUUCAUAAACUUUUUAAUGUUUUUCUUUGAUAAAAUUAAAUAUUAGUACAUUUGAUAAAAUAAAAAAAAAAGAGUUCAAGAGAAAGAAGAAUGAAUGAAUAUUAUAUCCAGUAGUCAAUUAUCCUUCUCUAAUUACUGAUUAAGUCAUCACUAGUCUAUAUCUUAUUAUUAACUUAUUUUAAUCAUCAGGUGGGACAUCUCAGCUUUGGACCAACUGCCGGAGAAUAUGAAAGUUUGUUAUGGAGCAAUGUUGGAUGUAUACACUGAAAUCGAAGAAAAGCUUGGAAAAGAGGGAAUUUAUAUCGCAUCCACUAUGCGAGAGAAGCACUAAGCCUCAUUAAUAUUUUUUAGAUUACAGAGUUGCAAGACCAUAAAUUAGUAUUCUAGUUAAUUUCCAAGUUUAUAUAUGCACAAAUAGUAGUUGAUAUCUUACAUUUCUUUGGGUCGGGCUUCAGACCUAUCUAGACAGAUUUGAGUGCGUGCUUGACUCAGUCUGAUCCAAAUAAAAAAAAAUGCCCGGGAAUGUAAGUUUUUUUUUUUUACUUUUUGGGUUGGAUGCUCUUAAUUCUAAUAAAAUAUAAAUUCUCAUGAUAUUAUUGCAUAGAAAGUAAUUAGAGAUCAUAUCUUGAUUUCGUAGAUGAAAUGAAUGGCUCCACCAGAAAUACACACAAUGGAUGAAUAUAUGGCAGUAGCACUUGGUACAUCCUACAUGAUGCUAUCAACCACGUCCUUCAUUGGAAUGGGAGAUAUUGUCACAAAAGAGUCCUUGGAUUGGGUUCUCAGUGACCCUAAGAUUGUGAACUCUUUAUCAAUACUUGGCAGACUCAUGGAUCACAUGAAGUCCCACAAGGUACAUAUUAACAUAAAUGCAACCUUUUCGUUUUUAUUUAUUUCCCCAUACCCCCUUUUAACCCUAAAUUCAUGUCUAUAUUGACGUAGUUUGAGCAAAAGAGAGGACAUAUUGCCUCAGCUGUGGAAUGCUACAUGAAAGAGUAUGGUGCCACAGAAGAAGAAACGAUAAUCGAACUCCAAAAACAAGUAAAUAAGGCAUGGAAGGACAUAAAUGAAGAGUGGAUCAACCUCAUCACCAUCCCUAUGCCACUACGAUUGAGAAUUCUGAAUUUUGCACGUACCAAUUGUAAUGACCCGGUCCUAAAUAAAUGUUUAAUUAUUAAUUAAACAUAAUAAAAGACCAUUUUGCCCCUAGAAUAUUUUAUUAGGUUUAAAUUGAAUUUUUGACCGGGGAGAAAUUUAGGAAUUUCGACUGUACCUUUGCAUAUAGCACAGUGAGAUGAGUUCAUAGACACGUAGCGGGCUCGAAUCGGAGUUGUAACAAGAGAGAUACGAUCAAAAUACCCUCAGUGGCACAAUCGUAAAUAUUGCAAAAAGGGUUUGAUAAAAUCUGGUUUCUCUCUCUCUUGAUAAAAUCUGGUUUCUCUCUCUCUCUCUCUCUCUCUCUCUCUCUCUCUCUCCUCCGCGCACUCUCUCUCUCCCCGAUAGCAGCCCCCUCUCUCUUUCUCUCUCUCUUCGAUUCUCUCAGCUCCGGCCACGGCAAGGGCCAGCACUGGUCCCAUUUGCUUCGUCUCGAUGCCACGGUCACAACCCGCCCCUUUUCUCGGACGGAGAGCUCGAGAUUUGCCGGCGAUAUCGACUGGUUUCUCUGGUUGUUCACGGCGUCGCUACGGCCAAUUCCGACAGCCAACUCCAGCAACCGAGGUACGAUUUCUCACCUAUUUUUCACGCUCUAGCUGCCUGUUGUGUAGGAAUUGCACGAUAUUCAUGUUUAGAAACUUGAUUUAGAAUUUAGGUUUUGGCCGAAUUUUCAAAGUGAAAUUUCAGCCACUUCCGUUGGUUUUUCAGGGUAUGUCCAAGAACAUAAAUGGUUCCAAAUAUGGUGUUACACCUAGGGUAGGACUCUUGAGCCGUGAUUCUGAGUUUUUCCGACAGUGGGUUAUCACUUUGGACACCCAUGUGCUGCCGGUGCGUGGGUACUGUAGAAAAGGGGCAUUGUGUCCCGAUGCGAUCCCUUUGUUGUCUCGAGGGCAUAGGUAUGAGUGAAUUUCAAUUUGGAUACCGUUUGAGUCUCGAACGGAUAUCGCAUAUUGUGCGUUAUCCGGGUUCAAUAGGUUUGAACUGUUGGAUAGUCCUGAAUUUAUAAUAUGUUAAUCUAGGCAUUUCAAGGAUUGUGUAGGAAUUCACGGAUCGUGAAUCGGAUCCCUGGAUGUUCCGAUUUAAUAACUUAAAGUUUAUAUUUUACAAUAACCGUCCGAUUAUGCGAUCGCGAGCGAUCCAACCGUUCGAUCAAGACCAAAGUUGUGGGACUUGUAUACUAAACCUUGUGGAACCUAUAGGAACUUUCAGAUCGGAAUUUGGAGGUCGUGGGCUCCGUUGACCCGUUUGACCAAGUAUGGGGUAGUUUGACCCUUGGUUGACCGUGAGUCUUCCAGGAUAGUUUCAUCUUCCUAGGAGGACUAAAAUGACCUUAGAGACAUGUCUUGAUCGCUAGUUGAGUUAUGUUGAUUAUGAGGGAUUAGGAUAUAAAUUUUAUUAUUUUAAAUUUGGAGAUUAUGGGAUGCUAUAUUGUGGUUGAGGUUUAUGCUAUUUUGGAAAUUAAUACAUACAUGUAUAUAUAUUAUAAAGAUAUAAAGAUGUUUGAUUUCACUAUAAGUACCAUCCUGCGAUUUUGAGGUCUCGCAUGGCGUAAGAUUUUCCGACGUUGAGACACACCCCAUACGUGGCUUUGGAUGUUCUGGCGUAUAGGGAGAUUUUGUGAUUGUAAGGUCCCACGUGACAUAGGAUUUUUCGGCGUGAGGACAAACCCCAUACGUAGCGUUGGAUGUUCCGACGUAUGGGGAGAUGAUAUGAUUGUUAGGUCACACGUGGCGUAGGAUUUUCUGAUAUGCUGACAGACCCCAUACGUGGCGUUGGAUGUUUCGGCGUAUAAGGAGAUUUUAUGAUUGUUAGGUCUCACGUGGCAUAGAAUUUUCCGACGUUGAGACAGACCCCAUACGUGGCGUUGGAUGUUCCGGCAUGGAGAUUUUGUGAUUGUUAGGUCCCACGUGGCGUAGGAUUUUCCAACGUGAGGACAGACCCCAUACGUGGCGUUGGAUGUUCCGACAUAUGGGGAGAUGAUAUGAUUGUUUGGUCACACGUGGCGUAGGAUUUUAUGGCGUGCUGACAGACCCCAUACGUGGCUUUGGAUGUUCUGGCGUUUAGGGAAAUUAUGUGAUUAUUAGGUCUCACGUGGCGUAGGAUUUUCCGGCGUAUGGGGAGAUUUUGUGAUUGUUAGGUCUCACGUGACGUAGAAUUUUUCGGCGUGAGGACAAACCCCAUACUUGGCGUUGAAUGUUCCGACGUAUGAGGAGAUGAUAUGAUUGUUAGGUCACACGUGACAUAGGAUUUUUUGGUGUGCUGACAGACCUCAUACGUGGCUCUGGAUGUUCCGGUGUAUGGGGAGAUUAUGUGAUUAUUAGGUCUCACGCGUGUCGUGAGAUUCUUCUGGCGUGUGAGACAGGCCCCAUACGUUGCGUUGGAUUUUUCCGGCGUAUGAGGAGAUUAUGUGAUCAUUAUGGAGAUGAAUGAAGAAUUGUGGUACUGCAUUGGAAAGAACUACGUGUGGCUUGAUCCCUUGGUGAGGGUAUGUAGGCAGCCUAGGAUAGUGCCUAGGUGCAGCCGCAGACUAAAUAUUAUUUUUGAGAUUGGUUCUGACCUUGUCAUUGGUCCUGAAAUUCGAUUGAAAACUAGAUGACGUAAAGUGUAUUUAGGCAUUCAUAUUUAUGUUUGAAAUUAUUACUUGCCUUGGUUAAGGUAUUAGUUGACUUAAGAGCUCUGUUGGUAGUUUAGUUUCAGAUUAUUUGAAGGCCGGAGACCGAUUAUGUGAAUUACAUGGAAUUAUCUUGUGCAUGCUGCCAGUUGUGGAUAUUAAAUGUGUUUUGUGCAGGUUGAAAUUUUUGGGAUUGUUCAAAUUACAGGGGAAACUUAGCCAAAAUUUCGGCAGAAAGUCUCGUGCCUUUAUUCCGUUUUUGAAUAAGGAGGCUAUAGUUUUAGUAAGUGGGCCCGGCAUCGGGGUGAUGUCGGAAUUUUCACAGGAUUCGUCUUGAGUUUUGAGAAAUUCGGGGCAGGUCCUGUCAUCAAUGAACUUAUGUACAAGCAUGAAGAUGGCUUUACUCAUGCUGGAGUUGUACUUAAGGAUCUUCUGGUGUCUCUGUUUGUCAACCCUGUGCCCAUAUAGGCCUAAAAUCAAAUUUGGUCUUCUUGUCUUUGCUAUAAAGAAUAAGGUCUCCACAAGUCAUGUCUUUGCUUUUUGGUUUUUAAAAAUAGUAAUUUGGUUUGUUUUGGGUCAUUUGUAGUCGUGGGCAUUACUCAGAAUAAGACUACACUAUUUGUACUGUACUGACCUUUUGUUUGUCAGCCCAUUUAGUACUUUAGAUUUUAUGUGUCAUAUAGAUUAGUUUGCAAUUGAUGUUCUGAAUAAAACAAAGUCGGGUUUGAGUCCAUAUUGUAUCAUUCAAUAGUUAUAUUUUUACAUUUCUACAUUUCUUUUUUUAUUGUUAACAAUAGGAAAAAAAAAACAAAAAAACAUGUCAAAAAACAAAAAAAGGAAACAUGUCAAAAAACAAGCUUUCUUCAAUAUCAAGCAAAAAAAUUUGUAGUGUAUGUUUUCACCCACUCAAAACAAAACAAAAAAAGUUCAUGUCUUCUUCUUUCUCUUCUAUUUUCUCAAAUUGAAACAUUAAAACUUUUAUGAAUUGGAUUUAUGAUUGCCAUUGCAUGCUAAUAGAUAAUGAAUUUUAGUUAUUAAAAAAAUUUAUAAUGGUAUUACCUCAUGGUAAAUUUUUUUAUAAAUAUUUUCAUAUUACAUUAUGUGAGGACUCUCGUUUAAGUUUUGCUCAAGGCCCUCAAAAUCUCAAGGUCGGCCCUGCUCUUUAUGCCCCUACAAUACAAACUUUUAUGAGCUGGACCAAAAUACAUGAGUUCCUCCGUAUACAUGUGUUACGUACGCAUAGCCCAAUCCACUUUUUAACUCCAUAGCCUAAAAGCCGAACUUCUUUUUUAGAAGUAAUUUUUGUACGCUCCGAGUACACCAUACAUGUGACAUGUGAAAAUAUUCUCUAAUACACUUGUAUUAGAUGGUACACGAGUCAACUUGUGUACACAGAAGAACAUAAAAAAUUUUCUCCUUUCUUACUAUGUAAGAAAUAAAUUAAUAUAUAAAUAACCGAAACAUAGAUAUUGGCAUAUUUGUGCAGCACAUCCUUCAACAAUCAGGAAAAAGAAAAAUAAAUAAGUAUCAAAUUAAAGAUUAACGACCUUUUCAAGUAGCAAAUAAAUGCAUUUUAUACUAAAAAAUCCUUUGUAAUUUAAACUAUUACUUAUAUUAAUAAAAAUAUACAAUUAAAUGCAUAUAUAAAUUAUUAAAGAAAUAAAUAUAUAGAUGGAUCAAUAUACAUGCACACAUUCAUAUAUGUCAAGUGAUCUUUAUUGUGUGUAUAUAUAUAUAUAUAUUUAUUUAUUUAUUUCUAUGCGUAGUCGCACAUUCCAUUGCCACAAGAAGUGCCUUCCUUGCAGUGGUUGGUGCACCUGCCACAGUUUUGAUUGUGAGACAUUGGAUUCACACAAUGAGCGUUGCGGCAUAUCUCUGAGCUACUGGCCCUGCGCUGCCUUCAGUUUCAAUAAAUAAAAGACAAAGUGAGAGUUUAUUAGAGCACUUUCAUCCAUUUGCCAAGACAAAAGGAAAGGGCUGUUACUAUUUACAUGAAUAGUGGCAACUCUUGUAAAAAGUUGUGGUGUUUUCACCCAUUGCCAUGACAACAACUAUUCACAUGAGAUGUGAUGAAAGAAAUUUGUAUAGAGUUUUGGUGUGGAAAGUGAAAAAUAUGACUAAGUAUUUAUUUUUAAAAAAUUCUAAAAUUAUUUGUAGAUUUUUUUCAAUUUUAAAUUUUCUGUUGCUGUUUCUGACGUCAGCAUACCCUGGCUUGAGCUCGAGCUAAUUUUGCCUGAGGGCUGGCUUGGUUUCGUAGGCCCAAGCAGUUGCCCUGAUAGCUUAAGGCCGCUGGAAUCAUGAAAAGGGGCUUGGGCCCCCUAUUGCCCUGGCAAGGACUGUCCGAUGGAAAGGCUCUUAGACACCAAACAAUGGACAUUUCAACAACUGGAUAGUUAGUGAGUCCAUAAGCAAUUCCACACUUUUCUUAAUAGAUACAUAUUUAUAUCAAUACCAUUAUUUCAAAUUUUGAUUACCAAAUAAUAGCGUAAGAUAUGAUAAUUUUUUAUUUGUUGUGAAUAAAUGAGAUCUAAUUCGGAUACACCAACACUAUAUUAGCCCAAAUAUGAAAUAGCAACAACUUUAAGAGGAUAUACUCUGCGAACGCUUGCCCCAGUAGAUUCAGUCAUGUCUAAGUCCUCCCCUCUUGCGCCAUCGGGCAGCGCCCAGUGAACUUGUGCACUAAAUUUGCCAAAGCAAUCUCUUGGACAGCCAUGGCAAACUGAAUUCCUGGGCAAACUCUUCUGCCAGCCCCAAAUGGAAUGUAGUGGAAGUAAUUGCCCUUAUAAUCUAUGGCACUGUCCAAGAACCUUUCUGGCUCGAACACCUCUGGUUUGUUGUAUGACUUGGGAUCUCUUCCAAUUUGCCACGCAUUCACUAUAACUUGUGUGUUGGCUUUAAUGUCGUAGCCAUUUAUUUGUGCAUCUUGGGUCGAUAGCCUGGGCAGUAGCAAUGGAAUUGAAGGAUGUAGGCGAAGAGUCUCCUUGAUAACUGCCUUCAAGUAGUGCAUUUCAACCAAAUCAUCCUCUCUAAUUAUGUCUGUUUUCUUGCCAACUAUUCCCCGGACCUCAUUCUGCAAUUUUUCCAUGAUUCUUGGAUGCCUUAAAAGCUCGAACAUUGUCCACUCUAGGAGUGUAAAUGAGGUGUCAGAGCCACCAACAAACACAUCCUACAAGAAUUUUAAUGGUAAAAAUCGAUUAAAAAUUAAUGGAAAAUUAUAUAUAAAACCCAAAAAAUUGGGGUUAGGAAUAACCCACGUGUUAUUUAUCUAUAUAUCUAUAUAUAAAAAAAAAGGUAAAAGGCUUUAAAAGUGAAACAUUCAAAAACCCUGAAAAUACUCGUGCUUCAAAGAAUUUUUGCUGCUUGGAUUGGAAUAGUGUAGUCUUCUAUCUUUUUAAUUAAGGUGCACUGGUCGUGAAAAUGAUUAUGCUUUGAACUCUUUUUCUGCAUGAAGGGCUAGUGGUUGUUCUCUCAUAGGAGAUUUUGGCACUAGUUAAACUUCAAAAAAAAAAAAAUGAAGAGGUUAAAAGAAUUCAAAAGAAAAAAAAUUGGAGCCAAACUUUUUCCUAAUAUUAAUGGAGUACAUGACUCAUUUGUUUUGUGUGAUCACCAUUUGGUUAAUGAAUUGUGCACAAAAUUUAAUAAGAUACGGAUCCUCUGCUAUGAUUUUAGUCCCCUUAUAGGAUGGAUCGUACUUUGGAGCACAUGUGGUAGUUCCUACUCACACUCACAAAUACAUAUUGGUUGGUCCAUUAAAAUGCAAAUAUCACCUCUCAUAUCAUUAUGCGAACAUUGGGCACAAGAGUUGUGUUUCCAACGUUGACAAGGGAUUGGAAGAUCUAGCUCGACGGAAAAAUAAGGAAUAAAACUUAUAGAAGCAUGCAUGCCGUCUAUGUAUUGUUGUUAUCAUGGCGAUACUAAUUCGGCAAUUUCUAAUGGGUGAAUUAAAAAAACAUUUUUAAUCUAUAUAUGUAAAGUUAAAUAUCAUUAUGGUUAAAUUUUAAAAUAACUCAUUUAAGAAAAAUUUCAAAACACAAGAAUUAAUUCAUUUUGAAGGGACAGAUACAUUUAUUUAAAAAAUAAUAAUUAAAAGGAGAUAAGAAUCUAUGACCAACAAGAAUUCUAUAUAUAUUACUGUUGAUGCUCAAAAUUAAUGUGAUGAGAAGUUGAAGGAUAUUUAAAGCCCAAUAUACUAUAUAAUGUUGGCUAUGUGUUAAUCCAAGCUAUAUUUUGGGAAGUAAUUCAUUAAAUAAAUAUAGAAAUAUUGUACAAGUCGUGCCAAGCAAGAUACAUUUUCCUAUGCUAAACUACCCGACAAGCUUAAAUGGACCCAAGCCACAUAUAUGUAUGGAGAUUGCUGAACGAGUUGUGGUGUGGAUGGUUAUAAUUGUUCAUAAAGCCCGUUGAAAAAUCAGACAAUAAAAGUUUUAGGGCUGCUUGGGAGUACAAAAACUCAUACCCACUUUCCUGAGCCUAAUUACAUGGGUAAGUAGAGACAGAACUUCCAGCCUCUUCCAAAACUCAAACCCCACUUUACUGCACACUCAUGGAAAAACCAACUGUUGAGCACUGUACACUCAUGAAUCCUUCUUUAAACAAACAUUCUAUAGCCUAUAAAUAGACCUUCAUCCCUCCUUGCAAUACACACACCGAAACCAGAAGAAGAACGGCAUGAGGCAAGCUCAUCCUCCCACUGCCGUAAACACAGAAAGCCCAAGCCUUCCUCCAUCACGCUUCUCUUCUUUCAUAACACCACUCCAAGCCCUAAACAUCACACAGAAAACCAUCCCAACUCCCGAAAACACCACAUGCAUCUCACCUUCAACAUAUCUUAUUCCAAUCCAAGCCGCAAAAGCACUCUCUCUUACUAAACUUAUGGAGACUUGUUCUCACACCAUAAGCCUCUCAAGCCAAGCUUCAUAUUGAUUAACUGAAGCAAGCUCCCAUGCGAAGCGUACAGUAUCGACAUAGUUGCUCUUUACUAGAGACCACUUCCUCUAGCAUCUUCUCCAGCACUAUUAAUUCCACUACUUACAGCACAUAGUUCACUUCAAGAAAAGCACUUCCAACGCAACAAAAUCAAGCAUAAUCAUUCCAGUACCUAUUAAUUGUACAUCAAAACCUGUAAGGAGCCACUGAAGAUAACCAAAUCACUCCCCUGUCUUAAACUCUUUCGGGGUGCUUUGGGGCCUGGUGCUGCAAACUCAGAAAGGGUAAAGGAGAUCUCAGUCCACCUCACAUUAGUCCAAUAAGCCCAUUGCAUCUCUCAACAAAAUAGACCCUCAUACAAAUGGCGACUCUGCUAAGGACUAGGCCAUUAUUCUUAGAGCGGCUCCUCAACAAUCACAAACUUUGUGAUUCGCACGUCACGCCACUGGGGGCUUCAUAAAGCAAGUUUUCCGUUGCCUUCUUCAAGUUCUUCCUGCAGCAGGAGAGAUGAAAUCGUUAAUUUUUCUUUGUAUUCAGUAUUUAUUGCUAAAAAAAAAGUUCUUUCGAUCAAUCAAGCUGCUAAAAAAAAGGAGUUAAGCAUCCAGGAGCUGUUGAUUUUAGUUUUCUUCCUGGAACAAUUAGAGAAAAACAAACCAAAUUCUACAACCAUUUGCUGACCGAAGUGGUUUAGGCUUCAUGCCAAGGAAAUUUAGAAAAACAAUAUAAAUAUCAGAGAGAGUGAAUCACUCAAACAGAAACCAAUCCAACAUCAAACAUCCAUCUGCCAACAAUAUUUUAGUCCUCCAUGGUUCUCCUUUUCUUACCAGAUAAAAGAAAAAAAAUGAACGAAAAGCAAAAGAGACAGAAUACAAAAACUUAUGUGAAAGCAUCUUCACUUGCUCUGCCCACAGCUCACCAAUCGUGGUCACAAGCACAAGAUAUGAAUUUUGCCACCAAUGCCUCAAGGGUUGAAACGAAAUAACCCCUUGCUAUCACCUUUCUCACAGCGAAAGGAAGAUUUUCUCUGCAAAUUUACACAGAUCGACCACCACCAUCGCUGCAGGACCAGCCAGCUUGCAAUAAACAAUGCAUGAAUCUCCACGUACGGCACCCACUUCAUGCGCCAAUAUUAUAAUCUUAGCCGUGUGUUUUUAUAGUGAGAGUGAGACAGGGCAUGCAACUACUCGCUCAACCCAACUCACCCUGCGCUAGAUUUUUCUUAUCUUUGAAUUAUUUGGUUUUCAGGCACCUAAGGCUUAAAAUAACUUAUAUUCUUUGAAAUUUUUUAUAGGAACUAGUUGUGGCAGAGGUGAUGGGUGGAACGCACCAAGUUAAUUAAAUAAAAACAAGGCUUAAAUUUCAAAAUGGUCUCUGUAAUUUACUUCAUCGGCCAAUUUAAUUCCCCUAUUAUCAAUUUGGCCAAUUUCGUCCAUGUGUUUAUAUAUAUUAGCAAAACUUCAUCCUUUCCGUCAAAAUUUCUGUUAAAACUGAAGAAAAAAAAUAUUUUAAAAUUAAUUUAAAAAACUGCAAUUAUUAUUAAAUAUUCAAAUUCAAUCUAAAAAUUGAAUUAAUAAAAAAAAAUUGCCUCCCCCAACCUCAACCACCUCCCAACCCCACCUAAACCACCAUUUUUUCUCUCGCACCUUCCUCUCCGGCAAAUUGCAAAGAACUUCGUAGCCAAUCAUUGCAGCGCUUGGCUCUGCCAGUUCAUCAUCCUUGUUGUAGCAGAAGUUGGCGACAUUCACACAAACAACAUGCACACUGUAGAUUCUAUAACCCUCUCGAACCCUCGUCGUUGUUUGCACCAAGACCACCGUUGAGCUCGAUUUCUCAACAAGAUUUGCACUCUGCUUUGUCUGGGCGUUGGUUAAUCCGAGAAGAUAGUCUAGGUUGGAGUGGGCUACUAGACCCCCCUUUUCAACCCAAUACAAGAACAUGACUUUUAAUAAUUAAGUUUUUAUUAUUAUUUGAAUUUGAAUAUUUACAUGACAUUUUUUUCUUAAGUUUUAACAGAAUUUUAACAGAAGGGACCACAUUUUUUAAAAUAUACAAAAACAUGGACUAAAUUAGCCAAAUUGAUAACACGAGGACUAAAGUGGUCAAUGAGUUAAAUUUGGAUCUAUAUCUAACUUUUCUAUUUUUUUAUAUACCAAAACUACCCUCAUGCUUUUCAAGAUAUUCUCAACUCUAAGUACCCUCCUCCUAUCUUUCUCCUUCUUGCCAAUCUCAUCAAAACCCAUCAGAGGAGCUUAUUCCCCCUCCUCAUCCCUACCCCCACAGUAGCCCCAUCCUCAUCCAUGUAGCAGCCCCACCCCCUACCGUGCCAAGGGUAGCAUUCAUAUGUUCAAUCAAUGCUUGAAAUGGUAAAAAUGAACAACAACAAAAUUAACGAUAUAGUUUGUGGUUCUAUUUAAUUCAUUCUCCCUUUCAAACCAGUUGAGUAAAGGCCAUUAGACCCACUAACAGGGCCUAGUCUCGUGGAAAAUAUUGUUAACUUGACAGGACCCGCCCCGAAUUUCCCGAAACCCAAGACGAAUCUUGUGAAAAUUCCGACAUCACUCCGAUGUCGAACCCAGUCACUAAAACUAAAGCCUCCUUUUCCAAAAGGAAUAAGGGCAUGAGACUUUCUACUGAAAUUUAGGCAGUCUCCCUUGUAAAUUGAACAUUCCCAAAAUUUCAACCUGCAAUAAAACACAAUUUAAAAAGCCAACUGCUAGCACACACAAUGUAAUAGCACACAGUUUACAGACAAGGCCUCCAGCCUUCAAAUAAAUCAAGGCAGAACAACUAGUAGUACUCUUAAGUGAAUUAAUAUACUGACAAUGCAACUAAGGAACUCAAAUAAUUUUACGAGUACCACUGCAGUCAACAUGAAAUAACUUCCCAAGUUUUCAAUCUGCAAAGACACAAUAAUACUUCUCACAAAUUUCUAGCAUGCAUCAACUACCAUCUAUGAAUUUUCACCAAUAGUCCCAGGGGCCUCGGCCCAUAAUACCAUAUAAUCAAACCUAAAAACAUGUAUAACGUUUAGUCAACAACUGCACCUAGGCGCUACCCUAGGCUGCCUACGUACCCUUACUAAGGGAUCAAGCCACACGUAGUUCUUUAUACUAAAUCCUAAUUCCAAACACAUACAAUACCUUUAUUCAUCUCUCUGUUAAUCACAUAAUCUCCCCAUAUGCCGAAACAUCCAACGCCAUGUAUGGAGUCUGUCAGCACGCCGAAAAAUCCUACUCCACGUGUGACCAAACAAUCAUAUCAUCUCCCCAUACGCGGCGUAUGGGGUCUGUCCUCACGUCGGAAAAUCCUACGCCACGUGAGACCUCACAAUCACAUAAUCUCCCCAUACUCUGGAACAUCCAAAGCCACGUAUGGAGUCUGUCGACACGCCGGAAAAUCAUACUCCACGUGCUACCUAACUAUUACAAUAUCUCCCCAUACGUCGAAAAAUCCAACACCACGUAUGAGGUCUGUCCUCACGCCAGAAAAUCCUACAUCACGUGGGACCUAACAAUUACAUAAUCUCCCCAUACGCCGGAAAAUCCUACGCCACAUGAGACCUCACAAUCACAAUAUCUCCCCAUACGCCGAAAAAUUCAACGCCACGUAUGGGGUCUGUCAGUACGCUGAAAAAUCCUACGCCACGUGUGACCUAACAACAAUCAUAUCAUCUCCCCAUACGCCAGAACAUCCAACGCCACGUAUGGGGUCUGUCCUCACGCCGAAAAAUUCUACGCCACGUGGGACCUAACAAUCAUAAAAUCUCCCUAUACGCCGGAACAUCCAACGCCACGUAUGAGGUCUGUCUCAACGCCGGAAAAUCCUACUCCACGUGAAACCUAACAAUCACCGGAUGGUACUUACACAGUGUAAUCAUCAUCUUUAUAUCUUUAUAAUAUAUAUAUAUAUAUAAAUUUCCAAUAUUGCCUAAACCUCAACCACAAUAUAGUAUCCGAUAUCCCCCAAUUUAAAACAAUAAAUUAAUAUUCUAUUCCCACAAAAUCAACUUAACUCAAGUAGCGGUUAAGACUUAUCAAUAAGGUCAUUUUAAUCCCUCUAGAAAGGUGAAACUAUCUCGAAAGACUCACAGUCAACCAAGAAUCAAACUACUCAAACUUGCUCAAACAGGCCCACGACCCCCAAAUUUGGAUCCGAAAGUUCCUAUGGGCUCUACAAGGAUCAGGAUACACUUCCUGCAAGUUUGGUUCAGAUCGGACGGUCGGAUCGCUCACGAUCGCACGAUCGGACGGUUAUUGUAAAAAUAGCCUUAGGAUUGACAUUUUCGGAGUGUCCGGGACUCCGUUUUACGAUCCGUCGAAUCCUAUACGAUCCUAAAGAUGCCUCGAUUGUCAUAUAUCAAAUUGGAGUUGAUCCAACGGUCUGAACAUGUCAAACCAGAUAACGCCUAAUAUGCGAUAUCCGAUCGACGAUCAAACGAUAACCAAAUUCAAAUUCGAGCAUCCCGUCAUGCUGGGGACGACAAGAGGGUUAUUUUGAAACUCUAAGAUAGGCCACCACAUGACCCACGUGCCACCCCAUGUGCCGGCAGUGCGUAGGUGUCCAAAGAAAUUUCCGGCGGCCGAAAAAUCUCCAAACCGCCGGCCAAGACUCCCAGGUUAGGUAAAUCACAUGUAGUGGAGCAACUUUUGUCCUUGAACCUACCCCAAAAAGUAGACGAAAGUGGCUGAAAACUGGCAGAAUUUCAAUCGCUUAUUUAACCGCCUAAACACAGAAAUUUCUCCUUUGCAACACAACCAUCAGCUAGAACGUCUCGAGAGGUUGAGAAAGCAUACCUAGAUCGACGAAAAUGGUGCCCGGAGGAGUCCGAACGAGCUCUGUGAAUUUUGGGUUAAAACCGGUCGAUUUUUGUCACUUUCCAGUGAGCACAGGUGGUUCCAGCGGCUGAGGCUGGUCGGGACGGAAAGAGUGAGGUGGCCUGGUUCUUUCGGGACCGGUACCACCCGAAACGGUGGCCGGAUGCGACGGUGGUGACCCAAAAUCCCGGCUGAUGAAUAGUAACAGGGGGGCUGUUUCUUGCGAAAGGAGAGGGAGAAAGAAGAAGAAAAAGAAGAAAAAGAAAAAGAAAAUUUAAAACUGCCCGGUUACUGUAGCACGACACUGUUUGCUACAGUACAAAUUUUAAAAAUUACCUUUGCAUCCUUUUUGUUUUCAGACUUUUCCUCUUUCGUUACAACUCAGAAUUGGGCGUGCCGCAUGUCUACGAACUCAUGUCGACGAGCUCUACUUAAUGGUGCCACUUACUUCUCCAAAAUCUUUUCGAAUCAGAAAAUAACCAAAAUACCCUUAUCCAAAGGGUAUAUUCGUAAAUUCAUAUUUAAAUUAAUUUAAUAAUUUAAUUGGGUAAAUAAAUUAGGGUCAGGGUGUUACAUAACUUGCAAACUAAUAGUCUCAUGUUCGAACUCUCAUGGCACCUUGGUAAUGUGCGUGAGAAAAUCCCCUCCUUAUUCCUAACUUUGGCAACCAAAAAAAAAAAAAAGAGUCAUCAGGCCAUCAUAUAAAUUCAUCUCUUGUUGUUCGAUCAACAAAAAAAACUCAUCUUGUUAUUUUUUAUUUCAAAAUUAUUUACAUGUAUUAUUUUAAAUAAUCACAUGAAUGCGUAGAAUAAUAUAAUAAUGUAAAUAUAUUGAAUUAUUUAUCAUUAAACAUCAGUAAAAUUUUAAAAAUAUAGACAAUAAAAUGUUAUUAUAUUGUAUGAUGUACUUGCCAUUUUAAGUUUUUUUUUUUUACUAGUAAGUAUACAAAACAUAUUUUAUUAUGUACAAGGCAUAUUAGUAAUCAAAUUGAUUUUGAUUCCUAUUACUGAAUACUUACAUAAGAAUGAUAUAAUAAUUAGUGGAAAAAAAAGAGGCCUGGUUUCAAACAAAGUACUAAUUACAUGAGUGGGAAAUAUAACUUCUGUUUACUUAUGUUACUCCAUUAAUAAAAUAAUAUAUUAAUUUGUAGCAACUCCGAUCUCUUGGACCAUAAGGGUCACCCACCGUUGGAUGUUAAUCUCCUUCUCACAAUAUUUAUAUACACACCAAUAUUUAUAGAGGAAAUAGGUAACAAAUUUCCUAAAACCCUUGCUAUAUAUUUCUGUCCUGAAAGAUUUAAGGAGCCUCAAAUUUGGAUAUUGCAACCACUUGAGACGUUAAUUAAUUAGACUUUAGAGAACGGUUAGGAUAUUGCAAUUUUUGGAUAUUAUAUAUCACUACUACAUUUUACACUUUGCGCGACGAAGUUAAUUUCGUCGCGCAAAAUAAAUUGUGGUCGCACAAAUUUCAACGCCACAAAAACUUCGUCGCGCAGAAUCCGUCGCGCAAAGAUCGUGAAGAAAGACUUUGCGCGACGAAGUUUUUUCAUUGGUCGCGCAAAGUUACUUUGCGCGACGAAAAAAUAUUGGUCGCGCAAAGUAACUUUGCGCGACGAAGAAAAGUGACUUUGCGCGACGAAAAAUAUUGGUAGCGCAAAGUUUUGCACGACGAAAUACAUUGGUCGCGCAAAGGUUUGCGCGACGAAAAACAUUGGUCGCGCAAAGUUUUGCGCGACGAACUACAUUGGUCGCGCAACUGUUUGCGCGACGAAAUACAUUGGUCGCGCAAAGUCUUAAAAAAAUUCCCGCGUCAAAUUUUUGGUACCCGCCCAAAUUUUUAGAGUUUUACGCGACAAAUAGUAACGUCGCGCAAAUAUUUGCGAGACGAAAUAUUUUUUGUUUUAAAUUUUUUUUAUUUGAAAUAAACUAAUUUAAUAGUUUGCGCUACGAAAUAUUUUUUCUUUAGUAUGAAUUUAUUUAUAUGAAUUUUUUCAAAUUUUUACUUUUUAAUUUAAUUUAAUUGUAUGAUUUCUUUUUAAAAUUACUUCAAUUUAAAUUGAUAUUAAUUUUUUCAAAUUUUUACUUUUUAAAUUUAAUUUAAUUGUAAGAUUUUUCUUAAUUACUUUAAUUUAAAUUGACAUAUUCAAAAUAAAAUUACAUAUGAAACAUAGUGAUCAAAUUAUCCAAUAAAUAUAAAUAUAUAUUCAAAAUGUACAUAUAAAUUAACAAAGUACAAUAAUAAAAUCCUAAUACAAGCGUAUUGUGGUGGUAGUGGCGGAGGAUAUGUUUUGAUAGCUUCCUAAUCCUCAACUUUAGCCGUCAAAGUCUCGAUGAUUCCCUACAAAAAAACAAAUAUAGUCAAAUAACAACAACAACAACAAAAAGAACGCACAAUCUCCCCUAAAAUUGUUAUACCACAAAUCCAACCCAAACUCCAAUCUCUCCCCUUUACUCAACCCCAAACCCCACACAAACUCAAAACUAACUCCAAAAACACAUAUUAAUGAAAAAAAUUUAAAAUUUGGAGAGAAUAUACCUUUUGGCAAGAUUGAGAGUGAGUGAGAAUGAGAGGGAGAAGUGAGUGUGAGAGAAUUAGAAAAGAUAGUGAUAGAGAGAUGAGAGAGUGAGAGAUAGUGAAAAGAUAGAUGAGAGAGUGAGUGAGAGUGAGAGAUAGUGAAGAUAGAGAUGAGAGAUUAAGUGAGAGGAGUUAGUGUGAGAGAAAGGGUGGGAUUUGGGGAAAGGGAAAGAGAGAGGAGAGGUAAGAGUAGAGAAAGAAAUUGAGAAAAUGGUGGAGGAGUUAUUUCAGUUUUAAAAAUCGUAUCACUUUGCGCGACGAAAAUAUGGUUGGUCGCGCAAAGUUUUGCGCGACGAAACAUAUUGGUCUCGCAAAGUUUUGCGCGACGAAUAUAGGAAUAUUGGUCGCGCAAAGUCUAAAAAAAAUUAUUUUAAAAAAAAAAAAAAAUUCCCGCAUCCCAUUUUUGGUACCCGCCAAAAUUUUUAAAUUUUUGCGCGACGAAAAAUAAUUAUUGGUCGCGCAAAGUCUAAAACAAUUAUAUAUAAAAAAUUCCCGCGUCCCAUUUUUGGUACCCGCCCAAAUUUUUGCGCGACGAAAAAUAUAUAUUGGUCGCGCAAAGUUUUGCGCGACGAAACAUAUUGGUCUCGCAAACUUUUGCGCGACGAAUAUAGGAGUAUUGGUCGCGCAAAGUCUAAAAAAAAUUUUUUUUUUUUUUUAAAAUUCCCGCAUCCCAUUUUUGGUACCCGCCAAAAUUUUUAAAUUUUUGCGCGACGAAAAAAACAUAUUGGUCGCGCAAAGUCUAAAACAAUUAUAUAAAAAAUUCCCGCGUCCCAUUUUUGAUACCCGCCCAAAAUUUUUGCGCGACGAAAAAUAUAUAUUGGUCGCGCAAAGUUUUGAGCGACAAAAAAUAUUGGUCGCGCAAAGUCUAAAGUUUUUUUUUUAAUUUUAAAAACCCGCGUCCCAUUUUUGGUACUCGCCCAAAUUUUUUGAGUUUUGCACGAUGAACUGUUGAUCGCGCAAACUUUUGAGAGACGAAAAAUUGGUUCGUAGCACAAUAUUUAUAAAAAUAAUUGUUAUGAAUAAUAAAAAAUAAAAAAAAUUAUUUUAUGAUUUAAAAUAUAAUUAAGGUGAAAGCUACUUAAUAAAUGUAUAUACUAUUCAAUUUCUUAAGUGUUAUACGUACAAAAUAAAUAAAUUUAAAGCUACUUAAUAAAUAUAUGUAUAUAAAUAUAUAUAUAUACACACACCAUUCAACGAUCCAACCAUAAGACUUGUUUGUAUAUACUUCAAGAUCGUAUACCCCAAAAAUCGCAAAAAACAAACAUUCAGAGAUCUAGUAACGGGACAAAACUUUUCGAUAGUUAUAAAUGAAAAAUCACGAUUUAACGGUUAUUUUAACUCCGAUUUUGAUGAUUUUUUUUACAGCUACACUCCUUGACCCUAUAUGAAUACAAUGACUGAAUUUGAUCUUCAAUUUAAAACAUUUGCACUAGUGGAUACCACAAAAUCUUAUGUUAUAUUUAACGAAAAUAUAAAUAAACUCUUAAUUGUUAGUGAAUAUAUUGUUUUGAUGGCAUAUGCAUUCUACGAAACUAGUUUCAACGAUCCAACCGUCAAACUUGUUUUUUUAUACUUCGAGAUCAUAUAUGCCAAAAAUUGGAAAAAAUAAAUAUUCAUAGAUCAAGUAACGGGACAAAACUUUUUGACGGUUAUAAAUGAAAAAUCAUGAUUUAACGGUUAUUUUAACUCCGAUUUUGAUGAUUUUUUACAGCUACACUCCUUGACCCUAUAUGAAUACAAUGACUGAAUUUGAUCUUCAAUUUAAAACAUUUGCACUAGUGGAUACCACAAAAUCUUAUGUUAUAUUUAACGAAAGUAUAAAUAAACUCUUAAUUGUUAGAGAAUAUAUUGUUUUGAUGGCAUAUGCAUUCUAUGAAACUAAUUUCAACGAUCCAACCGUCAAACUUGUUUUUUUAUACUUUGAGAUCAUAUACGCCAAAAAUCGGAAAAAAUAAACAUUCAAAGAUCAAGCAACGGGACAAAACUUUUCGACGGUUAUAAAUGAAAAAUCAUGAUUUAACGGUUAUUUUAACUCCGAUUUUGAUGAUUUUUUACAGCUACACUCCUUGACCCUAUGUGAAUACAAUGACUGAAUUUGAUCUUCAAUUUAAAAUAUUUACACUAGUGGAUACCACAAAAUCUUAUGUUAUAUUUAACGAAAAUAUAAAUAAACUCUUAAUUGUUAGUGAAUAUAUUGUUUUGAUGGCAUACACAUUCUAUGAAACUAGUUUCAACAAUCCAACCGUCAAACUUGUUUGUUUAUACUUCGAGAUCAUAUAUGCCAAAAAUCGGAAAAAAUAAACAUUCAUUGAUCAAGUAAUGGGACAAAAGUUUUUGACGGUUAUAAAUGAAAAAUCAUGAUUUAAUGGUUAUUUUAACUCCGAUUUUGAUGAUUUUUUAUAGCUACACUCCUUGACCCUAUAUGAAUACAAUGACUGAAUUUGAUCUUCAAUUUAAAAUAUUUUACACUAGUGGAUACCACAAAAUCUUAUGUUAUACUUACGAAAGUAUAAAUAAACUCCUAAUUGUUAGUGAAUAUAUUGUUAGUGAACAAAAAAAAACUAGUUUCAACGAUCCAACCGUCAAACUUGUUUGUUUAUACUUCGAGAUCAUAUACGCCAAAAAUCGGAAAAAAUAAACAUUCAGAGAUCAAGUAAGGGGACAAAACUUUUCGAUGGUUGUAAUGAAAAAUCACGAUUUAAUGGUUAUUUUAACUCCGAUUUUGAUGAUUUUUUACUGCUACACUCCUUGACCCGAUAUGAAUACAAUGAACUAAUUCGAUCGUCAAUUUAAAAUAUAUAUUUUCUAACAAAAACCCAAUCCGAACAACAAUAAUAUAUUUUUCUAAUAAAAAUCCGAUCCGAUCUAAAAUAAUAAGUUUAAAGCUACUUAAUAAAUAUAUAUACCGUUUAAUUUCUUAAGUGUUAUGCAUACAAAAUAAAAAACAAAAAUAAAUUGGUUUAGGUGACAAAAUGUUUGGAUUACGUCAUGCAAAGAUUCUAAAAAAUAAAUUUUUUAUUCUAUUUAUUUUUGUAAGGACUUUGCGCGACGAAAAGUAAACUUCGUCGCGCAAAGUCACUUUGAGCGACGAAUUAUUUUUCAUCGCGCAACAUUGGUCGCGCAAGACUUUGAGCGACGAUGUAUUGUCGUCGCGCAAAAGUUUGUAGCGCGAAGUGAGUUUGCGCGACGAAUUAUUUUUCGUCGCGCAAAAUUUGGUCGCGCAAGACUUUGAGCGACGAAGUUUCAAGUUUCGUCGCGCAAAGUAACUUUUAGCGACGAAUAAUUUUUCGUCGCGCAAAAUUUGGUCGCGCAAGGGGUUUUUUUUACUAGUGUAUUCUUUCUCUACUUUACCUUAAUGACUCAUAAUUACCCACUAGCACUGUAACACAGCUUCAAGUUGAAGCCAUGGCAGAGGCGUGGGAGGGGAGAAAGACUACGUAUUUUUAUAGUGUUAUCUCCGACUAAUAAUACCAUAGCAUUCAUGAUAAUACUUCGAUGUGGCAUAACAUUAUUGGCCGAAAAUAACAAAACAAUACUAUCUCCAUUACAACUACGUUUUUAUCCGUGGGCUGCUCUUAGGCUUAUCUAGUCUUUAAAAUGCAGUUGAAGAAUUUAUUAUUAUGAAAAUGACGUGAGAGAGAGGGAGGGGGUCAUAUAUUUUCAGAAUAAUUUUGCUAAAAAACGAAAGCAGAAGAAUUAAUUAUUAUGAAAAUGACGUGUAAUAAAACCACAGGUUGUGUGACAUUGCCGUACGGUACAUGCAGUCGGUGAGUCCACAGAUGACCAUGCAUUUGUUUUGAGUCGGAUUAAGCAGUGAAUGGGGGCACUAGUUGUCCAUCUUUAUAUGACCCAAUGACUUAAGAUAUCUAUAUGCAUACAGACUUUGAGAAAGCACAAAUAGUUUGUGGACAUGAGCGAUAGAUACUGUGGUUUUGGAUUAUCAACAAUGACAGUGUGAACGACUUUUCUUCAUGGUGUGCUUUAGCUACAUCUUCUACGCUUCUGCAUUGGUCACAUUCAUGUAAUCUUGAACAUGAAGCAACGUACCACAAAGGCUACCAAAACUUUAAUAACUGUGGACCAGAAGGAAGCAGUAUAUAGGUCCUACUACCUGUGCAUUUUUGCUGACUAAUAGUUUGAUGCUUAAGGUAAAUCCAAUACAAUUAGUGUAAAUGUCAUUUUACUAUAUAAUUAGGUAUAUCCAAUACAAAAUAAAUCUUUAAUCUUGAACAUAUUUAUAUAGGGGAUUCUAUGACUCACAAAGAAAACCUACGGAUACAUUUGUGUUUAUGUUUAAUCUCAUUUUCUCUUUUGUAAUUCCAUCUACUUUUCAUAAGAGUUUGUUUGAAACAAUUUAUAUAUAAAAACUACCCUUGUUUUUAGAUGAUUAUUGUGGUAGGAUGUAAUCAACAAAAUAGACAAACACGGUAUUUCAAGAAAAGACUAUAAUAAAAACUAUCUAAUUGAAUGAUCAAAUAGUUUCGGAUCCAAUUGAUUGUCACAGAAAUGAUCUUUGAAGAAAUAUCUAAAAACUAGAUGGUAUUGGAUUAUUGAAAUGCAUGGUGAGUCUUAUAAGGGUGUCUUUCAAAUAAACUUAUUUGAGAAAUCCCUCAACUAAAGCCAUAUCAGUCUCCUUCUCACAAUAUUUAUAUACACACCACACCUUUUGUGAAAAUCUAAAAAUGCUAAAUUAUGAAUGAAAACUGACAGUUAAAGAACUCUCAUGAUCACUCUACAAGAUUGUGACCUGAAUGAUGAAUCAGCAGCUUAAGUUUCACCCCAUUAAUAAAAUCUUUUGCCGUUCCCAUCCCACCUCUAAUAAAAGCUUACUUAAUACGUAGUCCCAUCAACCCCUACCAUCAAAGUAAGGGUUGAAUUUGGCGCUCUUUAGCCUUUAAUCACCACAAGAGUCACAAAUUCUUCUCUCUCCUUAUCUUUCCAACCCCACUGAUAUCUCAGGCAGCUCUAUAAAUAGGAAGAACCAAGCCAUAUUAUACUCACUCAGCAAUCAUCUCUUGCAUACUUUCAUAUAUACAUUAUUGUGCUUCUUGUUAAGCAAAACAUGGCAUCCUCAAAGGCUUUUCUUCUUCUUGGUCUUGUCUUUGCUGUUCUCCUCAUCUCCUAUGAGGUCUUAGCUAUUCCAACUCGUGAGUUUCUCACUUUCUUAACUAAAUCAUAAAUAUUAAAUUAGUAAUUGUAUCUUUCUUUCCAGUAACGAUUUGUGAAUUUAUGCACAUUUUAAUUAAGGUGCAUUGGUCGUGAAAAUGAUUAUGCUUCGAACUCUUUUUCUACAUGUAGGGUUAGUAGUUGUUGCACUUGCACGGCUUAAUUUGCAUCUUAUUAAAUACAAACUGAUCUAUGAUUGUUAUAAGUUAUGUAUAUUGUUUUUGCUUUAUAUAUAAAGUUUUUGGUUGUUCUCUCAGAGUCAGAGGAGAGUACAGUCAACGGUGAUGCCCGCGGAUUUGGAGGUCAUGGCCGCGGAUUUGGAGGUCAUGGCCCCGGACAUGGAGGUCAUGGCCCCGGACAUGGAGGUCAUGGCCCCGGACAUGGAGGUCAUGGCCACGGACAUGGUGGUCAUGGCCACGGACAUGGAGGUCAUGGGCACGGACAUGGAGGUCAUGGCCACGGACAUGAAGGGUAUGGCCACGGACAUGGUGGAUAUGGCCACGGCCACCACGGCCACCACGGCCACCAUGGCAUAGGGAGGCCUGGUGCUGCUGAGACUGAAAUCAAGAAUUAGAUAACCUGUUAGUUUCUGUGACUUACGUUGCAGGUGUGUUGUAAGGGUAGCAGUACGAAAUAAAGUUGUUUGGUUGAGUAAUCUAUAUGAACUCUCAAUCAUAAACUGUCCUAAGCUUGUUCUCAUGUUUCUCAUGUUCUCUGUAAUGUACGCAUUGUAAUGUACGCAUUGGAAUGUGUUCUCUUGUUAUGUGAUAAAAUGUGAUGUAACUUUCUCAAUACAUAUUAUGUCAAAAAUGUUUAGUAUGGCUUGGCUCCUUAAAAUUGAGGGGGAGCACAUCCUCAUAACAAAUGAGAUUUUGGCACUAGUGAAACUUCAAAAAAAUAAAAAUAAAAAGAGGUUAAAAGAAAUCAAAUGAAAAAAAAAAUUAAAGGAAUUUGCCAAGUGUCAAAACUCUAUUUCUUUUGAGGAGGAACUGCUCCUCAGUUUUGUGGAGCCAAACUUUUUCCUAAUAUUAAUGGAGUUCAUGUAUGACUCAUUUGUUUUGGGUACCAAAUUUAAUGAAUUGUGCAUUCAUUGGUGGACCCAUAAGCAUACAGUUUUUAAUUUAGGUGAGAUACUCUCGGCAAUUUAAAUCAUGUCAAAAACAUGAUAUCAAAAAAAAUCAGCCAUCAUCGAGUUUGUAGAUAAAGAAAUAAUAUAUAUGAAUGAACGUAAGCUAUAGAGAAGAACAUUACCAAGAGCUUUCGUGCUGAUAACGUAUUGUGAAACUAGAAAUUUGUAGGGAGAAAUAAGAGGAAGAAAGGGAGUAUAAUUUGCUCAAAUAAACUUGUAUUCCAUUCAUAUUUGGUGCCACUAUUUAUAGGGGUAGAGAGGCCUAAAUCAUUUACCACCAAUAAUUGAUAGGUGACAAAUAUAUAAUGAUGAGUAUUAUGAUAGGUUAAUAGUGGCUAUUAUUGUGAGCAUCCAUAACCUAUAAACCAAUAACAUAUGGAUUUAUAACACAAAUACGUUUAUUAAAUAAACAAUAAUUAAAAAGUAAAAAGAAGAUAAGAGUCUAUGUCCAACAAGAAUUCUAUAUAGAUUACUGUUGAGGCCCAAAAUGUCACGAGAAGCUCAAGGAUAUUUAAAGUCCAAUAUAACAUAUAAUGUUGGCCAUGCGUUAAUCCAAGCUGUAUUUUGGGAAUUAAUUCAUUAAAUAAAUAUAUAAAUAGUGUACAUGCCAUGCUAAUCAAAUAUUAUAUUUUUCUAUGCUAAACCACCUAACAAGCUUAAGUGGACCCAAGCCACAUAUAUAUUUAGGGCUUGUUGAACGGAUUGCGGUGUGAAUGGUUACAAGUGUUCAUAAAGCUUGUUGAAGGAUCACUGUUUUACAGCUGCUUGGGAGUACCAAAAUUCAUACCCACUUUCUUGAGCCUAAUUACAAGAGUAAGCAGAGAGGGAACUCCCAGCCUCUUCCAAAACUCAAACCCACUUUCAUUACUAUGCACAUAGUAAUUACUGCACACUCAUGGGGAAACCAAUUGUUGAGCACUGUACACUCACAGAUCCUUCCUUACACAAUCAUUCUUCAGCCUAUAAAUAGACCUUCAUCCCUCCUUGCAAUACACACGCCGAAACCAGAAGAAGAAUGGCAGGAGGCAAGCUCAUCCUCCAACUGCCGUCUACACACAAAGCCCAAGCCUUCCUCCAUCAUGCUUCUCUUCUUUCAUAACACCACUACAAGAGUCUUGAACAUCACACGGAAAACCAUCCCAAACCAUCCCAACUCCCGAAAACACCACAUGCAUCUCACCUCCAACAUCUUAUUCCAAUCCGAGCAGCAAAAGCAUUCUCUCUUACUGAACUUAUGGAGACUUGCUCUCACACCAUAAGCCUUUCAAGCCAAGCUUCAUAUUGAUACACUGAAGCAAACUCUCAUGCCAAGCGUACAGUAUCAACGUAGCUACUCUUCACCAGAGACCACCUCCCUCUAGCAUAUUCUCCAGCGCUAUUAAUUCCACUACCUGCAUCACAUAUUUCACUUCAAGAAAAGCACUUCCAACACAACAAAAUCAAGCACAAUCAUUCCAGUACCCGUUGUACAUGCAUCAAAACUUGCAAGAAGCCACUGAAGAUAACUAAAUCACUCUCUAAGUCUUAAACUCUUUCGGAGUGCUUUGGGGCCUGGUGCUGCAAACUCAGAAAGAGUAAAGGAGAGCUCAGUCCACGUCACACCAGUCCAAAAAACCCAUUGCAUCUUUCAACAAAAAAGACUCUCACAUAAAUGGCAACUUUGCUAAAGACUAGGCCAUUAUUCUUAGAGUGGGUCCUCCACAAUCACAAACUUUGUGAUUCGUAAGUCACCACUGGUGGCUUCAUGCAAAGCAAGUUUUCCGUUGCCUUCAAGUUCUUCCUGCUGCAAGAAAGAAGAAAUCGUGAAUUUUUCUUUGUAUUCAGUAUUUAUUGCAAAAAAAAUUGUUCUCUCGAUAAAGCAAGCUGCAAACAAAAAAAAAAAAAAAAAACAACGAGUCAAGCAUCCAGGAGCUGUUGAUUUUAGUUUUCUUCCUGAAACAAUUAAAGAAAAAACACACAACCAAAUUCUACAACCCCUUUCCGUGACAAGGGUAGCAUUCAUAUGCUCAGUUAAUGCUUGAAAUCACUAGCGGACCCAGAAAUUUUUUAGCGAAUGUGCAAUAUUGACUAAGUAUGAAAAAUGGUUUUUCGAAAUAAUCAUUUUGUCAAGAUAAUUUUUAGCCGCUUUUAUUUCUUACACAUCAAAUAAGAAAAUUUGAUUUUAUGGGAUUUUAGUAUAUAUGAAGUAUAUAUUGACUUAAUGAGCCAUCAUUUUUAGCUUAAAUCGUAUUUUGCACUAAAAUCGAAUUUUCAUAUUUUGAUUUGGUGAGAAUUUGAUUUUCUAGUAUUUUUAUUUGAAUCCAAAUGGGGGGUACUUUCUUAUUUACAUUGUAAACUUAAGUAAAUGGAGUAAUAUAAAAAUAAAUAAAAGUAAAAGGACAAAGACAUUUAAGUAAGGUAAUUUGUACAUCAAUUGAGCAAAUGAGCAAUUUGAAGCACCUACAAUGGUUUUUCCGGCAAGGGGAGGUGCAGCUGCACCUCCUUGCCCCUUAAUAGGUCCGCCUCUGCUUGAAAUGGUAAAAAUGAACAACAACAAAAUUAACGAUAUAGUUUGCGGUUCUAUUUAAUCCAUUCUCCCUUUCAAACCAGUUGAGUAAAGGCCAUCAUACCCAUUAACAUGGUCUAGUCUCGUGAAAAAUAUUUUUAACUUGCAAACUAGUAGUUUCAUGUUCGAACUCCCAUGACACCUUGAUAGUGUGUGUGAGAAAACCCCCUCCUUAUUCCUACCUUUGGCAACCAAAAAAAAAAAAAAAAAAGUCAUCAGGCCAUCAUAUAAACUCAUCUUGUUGUUUGAUCAUAUAUAUUAAUGUAUUUGAAUUCUUAGAAUAAUAUAUUAAUGUUAAUAUAUUUGAUUAUUUAUCAUUAAACAUAUUUUAUUAUGUAACUAUACAAAACAUAUUUUAUUAUUUACAAGGCAUAUUAGUAAUCAAAUUGAUUUUGAUUCCUAUUACUGAAUACUUAUAUAAGAAUGAUAUAAUAAUUAGUGGGAAAAAAAAAGGGCCUGGUUUCAGACAAAGUACUAAACAUGAGUGGGAAAUAUACUAAACACAAUAACUUCUGUUUACUUAUGUUACUCCAUUAAUAAAAUAAUAUAUUCAUUUGUAGAGGAAAUAGGGAUCAAAUUUCCUAAAACUCUUGCUAUAUAUUUCUGUCCUGAAAGAUUUAAGGAGCCUCAAUUUUGGAUAUUGCAACCACUUGAGACGUUAAUUAAUUAGACUUUAGAGAACGGUUAGGAUUUUGCAACCUCUUUGCAAUUUUGGAUAUUAUAUAUUCUUUCUCUACUUUACCUUAAUGACUCAUAAUUACCAACAAGGACACUAGCACUGUAGCACAGCUUCAAGUUUAAGCCAUGGCAGAGGCGAGGGAGGGGAGAAAGACUUCUAUAUAGUGCUAUUCCUGACCAAUAACGCCGUAAUAUUCGUGAUAAUAUUUCGAUGUGGCAUAACAUUAUUGGUCGAAGGUAACAAAACAAUAUUAUCCCCGUUGUAACUAAGUUUUUCUCUGUGGAGCUACUCUUAUUAUGAAAAUGACGUGAGAGAGAGGGAGGGGGUCAUAUUUUCAGAAUAAUUUUGCUAAAAAACGAAAGUAGAAGAAUUAAUUAUUAUGAAAAUGACGUGUAAUAAAACCACACGUUGCGUGACAUUGCCGUACAUGCAGUCGGUGAGUCCACAGAUGACCAUGCAUUUGUUUUGAGUCGGAUUAAGCAGUGAAUGGGGGCACUAGUUGUCCAUCUUUAUAUGACCCAAUGACUUAAGAUAUCUAUAUGCAUACAGACUUUUAAAAAGUAGAAGCAAUACAGCCUUAGAAAGGCAGUGCGUGCAUGGAAAAAGAUUAUCUGGUCCCAAUUUGCAUAUUUAUUAUUAGGUAAAAUACUUUGAAAAAGCACAAAUCGUCAUAGUUUGUGGACAUGAGAGAUAGAUACUGUGGCUGGAUUGUCAACAAUGACAGUGUGAACGACUUUUCUUUAUACUGAAAUAAGAAGUGAACGUGAAUAUUUCUUUCCUAGUACAAAAGAUUGACAGCUACAAUUUAGCAUUCCUAUUCUGGUUAACCACUGAUUCGUAGGAUCUAGAUACAAGGAGAAUUGUAGGUUCAUCUCCUAUAUAUGUUGCUGUACAUUCAGAAUUGUACAUUAUACAAAUAUAUGAAAUACCAGUUUCUUUACAUGGUACCAGAGCCUCCUUUUUUUUCUUCACCAUAAACAUCAAUGGCACCAGACAACGAUGCCAAACCAGUUGACAGAGAGAAGUCCUCAUCCACAACCGAUAGAGAUGCAUAUGACUCUACCGAUCCCUACUGCAUACACCACUCAGAUCAUCCCGGCAUGAUAUUUUCUUCCAUGCCACUGACUGGUGAUAACUACAGCACUUGGAGUCGUAAAGUAUGAAUUUCCUUGAGUGUGAAAAACAAAACAGGCUUUAUUGAUGGGUCCAUUGUGAAGCCAUCCCUCACCAAAAAACCUAUAGAGUAUCAACGAUGGCAGAGGUGUAACGACAUGAUCUUGUCGUGGAUUCUCAAUUCUUUGGAUCCUGACCUUGCUAAUAGUGUUAUUUAUGCUGAGACAGCUCAUGAAGUUUGGACUGAUUUAAAAGAACGAUAGAGCAACGCUCCUAGGAUUUUUCAGAUUCAAUGCAGCAUAGCGACACAUACGCAAGAUCAGAUGCCUCUGGCAACAUAUUAUUCAAAACUAAAGAGCUAUUGGGACGAACUGGGUUCCUACAAUGAUACAGAAGUUUGCUCCUGUGGAGCAAUUAAAGAAGUCGUUGGCCGAGCGCGAGAAACAACAACGCUUGAUGCAAUUUUUGAUGGGACUAAAUGAAUCCUAUGCAGCGAUCCGAGGGCAGAUUCUCCUUAUGGAGCCCUUGCCAUCAUUUAGAAGGCAUAUUCCCUACUUUCACAGGAAGAGAAACAACGUGAAAUCACCACUACCCAUGCAAAUACAAAAAGCAUGGCCAUGUUAAGUAUCCACAAUAAGAAAGGGGGUUCUUCUAAACCCGCUUAUCAAUUCCGCUCAUAACAAGGACAGAACUCACAACCUCGUUCCUCUUUUCGAGGGAGCCAAAAAGAGACUCGACGUUGCACUCACUGCAAUGGAGAUACUCACACCGUUGAUACUUGCUAUUAUCUCAAAGGGUUCCCUCCAGGACAUAAGUGGCACAACAAAGAAGUCUCUCUGCCUGAUAGAGGAAGCAGUUCACACCAAGGAAACCAAAGGAAGUCACAUGCUGCCAAUAAUGUCCAAAACUCAGAUUCACAAGUUCAUCAUCUCCAGUCCAUCGCGCCCCACCUUACACUAGACCAAUGCCAACAAAUUAUGGGCGCCGUAGGUAAAGAAGAUGUUUCACAAACCCAAGUAAAUUUUGCAGGUCUGUCUCCUUCUUGUCUAUUUUCUCAAAAGCAAUCCAAUUUAUUGCAUGCUUGGGUAAUUGAUAGUGGUGCUACCGACCAUAUCACUAAUUCACAUGACUUUCUAAUUGACACAUCUCCAUCCUCCAUGUCCCCAGUAGGAUUGCCCACAGGGGCUAAGGCACCCAUAAAAUCCACUGGCAAAAUCACUUUUGAUGGAAAUUUGUGUCUAACUGAUGUUCUUUGUGUUCCAUCCUUUAAUGUUAAUUUGAUGUCAGUUCCCAAACUCACAGAGUCACUUAAUUGUUGUGUUGUGUUCUUUCCCAAUUUUUGUUAUACACAGGACUUGGUUAAGAAGAAGAUGAUUGGAUUGGGUAGGCGGCAUGGCAACCUAUACUAUUUUGAUCCAAACUAUAUUUCUCAUAAGCCACCAUCCUCCUCACACCAUGUGUUAUCUCGAUAAAAUCUUUGGCACUUGCGGCUAGGACAUCCAUCAGAUGCCCGCCUUCUUAUCUUGGCUCAACAUGAAUCUGAUAUUUUCUUUUCCCAGCACUCCUGUGAUUUUUUCCCAUUGGCUAAACAAACUAGACUUCCAUUUACUUUAAGUUCCAUUUCAAGUAUUGAUUCUUUUGAUUUUAUUCAUUGUGACUAUUGUUGGGGCAAGAUAUUUUUUGACUAUUGUUGACGAUUAUACAAGGUGCACAUGGGUUUAUUUAAUGCCAUAUAAAUCUGAUACUCAAGGUCUUCUUAAAUCCUUCUUCGCCUUUGUUUAUACUCAAUUUAACAAAACAAUAAAGGCUAUUCGUGUAGAUGAUGGUGGUGAGUUUUCUUCUCUAAAAACGUUUUUUUGCAGAUCUUGGUGUGGUUUACCAACAUUCCUACGUCUCAACACCUCAAUAAAAUGGGAUUGUGGAACGUAAACACCAACACCUUCUAGAGAUGGCUCGAGCCUUGCGAUUCCAUGCACAUCUCCCUCUUAAUUUAUGGGGAGAAUGCGUACUCACUGUUGUAUAUCUGAUUAAUCGUCUCCCCACUCCACUUUUAACUGGUAAAACUCCCAAUGAGCUUUUAUUUAACCAUCCACCCAUUUAUAAACAUCUUCGUGUUUUUGGUUGUCUUUGUUAUGCAACUAAUUUACACCCUUCUCAUAAAUUUGAUAAACGGGCACGUAAAUGUAUUUUCGUGGGUUAUCCUUUUGGUCAAAAGGCUUAUCGUGUUUAUGACUUAGAGACCAAAAAGUUUUUCAGUAGCUGGGAUGUUAUUUUUCAUGAAAAUGUCUUUCCUUUUGCUAAUCAACAUGAUGUACCCACUAUCCCUGUCUUGCCUUUAACCCAAUGAUUAUGAUUAUGUGCCUGUCCACAUAUCAGACCCACUACCCACUUCAUCUUCCAAGCCAAAUCCACCAACCAAUCUAGAUAUGCAUCCACCUAGCCCAAACACACACUCUGGCACACCUACACCACCUCUUCCAAAUACACCACCACCUAGUCCACGCACACAAUCUAGUCCAAAUACACACACCCAAUUUAGCCCCAACACGCAAUCUAAUAUAUCCCCUCAACCUAGUCCACCACUAAGUCCAUCACAUGAUACACACCCACCACCAUCGCUUCGACAUUCUGAAUGCCUAAAACAACCUUCAGUGCUCCUACGUGACUACCACUGUUACACCGCCAUGUCUCUCUACUCUAAUUCGUCAUCUUCUUCAAAUACAAAAGGUAAGGGCACCCGAUACCCUAUUUCCCAAUUUCUUAAUUAUCAUAAUUUGUCAUCCACUCACAAAUCUUUUGUAGCUUCCAUCUCUCGAGUUGUUAAGCCAACUACUUUUGCCCAAGCUUCGACUGACCCUCUUUGGCAAGAAGCCAUGGACAAGGAAAUUCAAGCUCUUGAGCAAAAUAAUACUUGGUCCAUAACACCUUUACCUGCAGGAAAACACCCAAUUGGCUGUAACUGUCCAAAGUCAAAUAUAAUUCUGACGGUUCCGUUGAGCACUACAAAGCUCGUCUCGUGGCCAAGGGAUAUACCCAACAGGAAUGCUUAGACUACACGGAGACAUUCUCUCCCACAGCUAAAUUGGUCACUUUCCGAUGCUUGCUUGCUCUUGCCGCUGUACGCAAUUGGCCCCUCCACCAAUUAGACGUCCAAAAUGCUUUUCUUUAUGGAGAUUUAGACAAAGAAGUCUACAUGCUUCCUCUACCCGGCCUUUGCCGACAAGGGGAGCACUUGGUUUGUCGGCUACACAAAUCAUUAUACAGGUUGAAGCAAGCACCACGAAAUUGGUUUGCCAAGUUCACCAAUGCCCUUCAAGAUGCCGGAUUUGUCCAUCCCUAGCAGAAUAUUCACUUUUCACAAGGUAUCACGAUAAUUCAUUUACCAUUAUAUUAAUUUAUGUAGAUGAUAUUGUCAUUAUAGGGAAUGAUCCUAAGGCAAUUCAGUCUCUUAAGGAUUUACUCCAUGCUCGCUUCCGCAUAAAAGACCUUGGAAAUCUUAAAUAUUUUUUGGGAAUUGAAGUAGCAAGAUCAAAGAAGGGAAUUUUCAUCUCUCAACGCAAGCACACACUGGAUAUACUUGACAACGCUGGACUUUUGGGUGCUCGCCCUUAUUCCUUUCCCAUGGAGCAGACGCUUAGACUCAACCCUACUGAUGGCAACCACUACAAGAUCCUACCAGAUGCAGGCGAUUAGUAGGUCGCCUCAUUUAUCUCACAGUAACAAGGCCAAAUCUCUCAUUUGCUGUCCAUGUGCUUAGUCGUUUCAUGCAUGAGCCGCACCAACCUCAUCUAGAUGCAGCUCUUCGUGUACUACAUUAUUUGAAAGGCUCUCCAGGAUAAGGCAUUUUAUUCCCUACUACAAACAACCUAAAGUUAAAGGCAUUUUGUGACUCAUGUUGGGCAAGUUGUCCAACUACCAAGAGAUCUGUCACAGGUUAUUGUACUUUCCUUGGUGAUUCUUUGAUUUCUUAGAAAAUCAAAAAAUAAAAUACCGUGGCACGUUUCUCUACAGAAGCAGAAAACCGAGCUAUGGCAGAUGCGUGUUGUGAGCUCACAUGGUUACGUUACAUCCUCAAAGACUUGGGCAUUCAACAUUCAGAACCAGCAGUAUUGCAUUGUGAUAAUCAAUCAGCCCUUUAUAUUGCAAAGAAUCCAGUAUUUCACGAGUGAACGAAGCAUAUUGAUCUUGAUUGUCACUUGGUGAGACAAAACAUUCAAUCAAGCUUGGUGUCUACUGCCUACACGCCAACAAAGAUGCAGAUUGCUGAUAUAUUUACUAAACCCUUGGGCAAGGUUCCUUUUGGCUCACUAUUAGGCAAGUUGGGAGUAUACAACAUACACUCUCUAACUUGAAGGGGCAUAUUGAAAUAAGAGGUCAACGUGAAUAUUUUUUUGCUAGUAUAAAAGAUUGACAGCUACAAUUUAGCAUUCCUAUUCUGGUUAACCACUGAUUUGUAGGAUCUAGAUACAAGGAGAAUUGUAGGUUCAUCUCCUAUAUAUGUUGCUGUACCUUCAGAAUUGUACAUUGUACAAAUAUAUGAAAUACCAGUUUCUUUACACUUCAUGGUGUGCUUUAGCUACAUCUUCUACCCUUCUGCGUUGGUCACAUUCAUGUAAUCUUGUACAUGAAGCAACGUACCACAAAGGCUACCAAAAAUUUAAUGACUGUGGACCAGAAGGAAGCAGUAUAUAGGUCCUACUACCUGUGCAUUUCUUGACUAAUAGUUUGAUGCUUAAGGUAAAUCCAAUACAGUUAGUGUAAAUGUCCUUUUACUAUAUAAUUAGGUAUAUCCAAUACAAAAUAAAUCUUUAAUCUUGAACAUAUUUAUAUAGGGGAUUCUAUGACUCACAAAGAAAACCUACGGAUAUAUUUGUGUUUAUGUUUGAUCUCAUUUUCUCUUUUGUAAUUCCAUCUACUUUUCAUAAGAAUUUGUUUGAAACAACUUAUAUAUAAAAACUACCCUUGUUUUUAGAUGAUUAUUGUGGUAGGAUAAAAUCAACAAAAUAGACAAACACGGUAUUUCAAGAAAAGACUAUAAUAACAACUAUCUAAUUGAAUGAUCAAAUGGUUUCGGAUCCAAGUGAUUGUCGCAGAGAUGAUCUUUGAAGAAAUAUCUAAAAACUAGAUGGUAUUGGAUUAUUGAAAUGCAUGGUGAGUCUUAUAAGGGUGUCCUUCAAAUAAGCUUAUUUGAGAAAUCCCUCAACUAAAGCCAUAUCAGUCUCUUUCUCACAAUAUAUAUAUAUAUAUAUAUAUAUACACACCAUACCUUUUGUGAAAAUCUAAAAAUGCUAAAUUAGGAAUGAUAACUGAUAGUUAAAGAACUCUCGUGAUCACUCUACAAGAUUGUGACCUAAAUGAUGAAUCAGCAGCUUAAGUUUCACCCCAUUUGCCACAUACCAUCAAAGUAGGGGUUGACUUUGGCGUUCUUUAGCCUUUAAUCACCACAAGAGUCACAAAUUCUUCUCUUCUCUCUCCUUAUCUUUCCAACCCCACUGAUAUCUCAGAAAGGUCUAUAAAUAGGGAGAACCAAGCCACAUUAUACUCACUCAGCAAUCAUCUCUUGCAUACUUUCAUAUAUACAUUAUCGUGCUUGUUGUUAAGCAAAAGAUGGCAUCCUCAAAGGCUUGUCUUCUUCUUGGUCUUGUCUUUGCUGUUCUCUGUUGACGUGGGUCUCCUAAUUAAUCAAGGAGAUCUACUUCCUUGAUUAAUUAAGGGAUUUACUUUUUUAUUUUUUAUAUAGUUGAUAAAUUAUUGUAUAAUUAGGAGAUACUUUCCUAAUUCUUUACUGUAUAUAAUUUCUUCAAACACAAACCCUAAACCCUCAUAUCAAAUUUCGUCACACCCAAACCCUAAAUCAAAUUCCUCAUAUUUACAGCUUCAGAUUCGGAUCUUCAUACCCGAAUCCUCAUAUCCUCUUAUCACAAAACCCUAAACUCAUAUUUUUUUCUCUUAUCAGAAAACCCUAAACACAUAUUUUUCCUCUUCUCUUAAAUCCUUCCGCUACCAUGAAUAUCGUCUCAUCUUCCCAAACCACUGCCUCCACUUCCCCAUCCUCCACAAUUGCCACAACAAGUUCCCAUGGUUAUGUUUUGACAGGACCCGCCUCGAAUUUCCCAAACCCGAGACAAAUCUUGUGGAAAUUCCGACAUCACCCCAAUGUCGGACCCAAUCACUAAAACUAAAGCGUCCUGUCCCAAAAAGGAAUAAGGGCACGACACUUUCUACCGAAAUUUCGGCAGCCUCCCCUGUAAAUUGAACAUUCCCCAAAUUUCAACCUGCACAAAAACACAUUUAAUAUCCCAACAGGCAGCACUCACAAGAUAAUUUCAUGCAAUUCACAAACUCGGCCUUCGGCCUUUACAAAAACCGAAGUGAAACCAAACAACCCACAAAGCCCUUAAGCAAAAUAUUGCCUUCCGCAAGGCAAUUAAUAAACUCAAAUAUGAAUUAUGAAUACCAAACACAACUUACAUCAUCUACCUUUCCAAUUCUAACAUACGAGGUUUUAACCUCCUAACACAAUCACAUUUAUGUCUGCGGCUGCACCUAAUAACCUUAGGCUGCCUACAUACCCUCACUGAGGGAUCAAGCCAGACGUAGUUCUUUCUACUAAAUCCCGAUUUCCAAACACAGACAAUACCUUUAUUCAUCUCUCUGUUAAUCACAUAAUCUCCCCAUAUGCCGAAACUACCAACGCCACGUAUGGGGUCUGUCAACACGCCGGAUAACUUACGCCACGUGUGACCUCAACUUAUUAUUACCAUAUCUCCUCAUACGCCGGAUCUACCAACGCCACGUAUGGAGCCUGUCCGCACGCCGAAUAACCUACGUCACACGGGACCUCACAAUCAUAUCACAUAAUCUCCCCAUACGCCGGAUCUACCAACACCACGUAUGGGGUCUGUCAACACGCCGCAUAACCUACGCCAUGUGCGACCUCAACGUAUUAUUACAAUAUCUCCCCAUACGCCGGAUCUACCAACACCACGUAUGAGGCCUGUCCGCACGCCGGAUAACCUACGCCAUGUGGGACCUCACAAUCAUAUCACAUAAUCUCCGCACACGCCGAAUCUACCAACACCACAUAUGAGGUCUGUCAACAUGCUGGAUAACCUACGCCACGUGCGACCUUAACAUAUUAUUACAAUAUCUCCCCAUACGCCAGAUCUACCAACACCAUGUAUGGGGCCUGUCCCUAGGGUCAUUUAAAUCCUCCUGGGAAGGUGAGACUCCCCCGGAAGACUCACGGUCAACCAAGGGUCAAACUACCCCAAACUUGGUCAAACGGGCCCACUAGGCCCACAACCUCCAAAUUCCGAUCCAAAAGUUCCUAUAGGUUCUACAAUGUUUAGGACACUCAUCCUGCAAGUUUGGUCCGGAUUGGAUGGUCGGAUCGCUCACGAUCGCACGAUCCGACGGUUAUUAUAAAACAUAAACUUUAAGUUAUUAAAUCGGAACAUCCGAGGCUCCGAUUCAAGAUCCGUGAAUUCUUACACGAGCCUAGAAAUGACUAGAUUAACAUAUAAUAAAUUCAAGACCAUCCAACGGUCCAAACCUAUCGAACCCGGAUAACGCGCAAUAGGCGAUAUCCGUUCGAGACUCAAACGGUAUUUGAAUUCAAAUCCGAGCAUACCGUCAUGCUCGAGACGACAAGAGGGUUAUUUUAGAACUUUAAGACAUGCCACCACAUGGCCCACGCGCCACCCCACGCGCCGGCAGCGCGUAGGUGUCCAAAGAAAUUUUCGGCUGCUGAAAAAACUCCAAACCGCCGGCCAAGACUCCCAAGUUAGGUAAAUCAAAUGUAGUGGAGCAACUUUUGUUCUUGGACCUACCCCAAAAAGUGACCGGAAGUGGCCGGAAUCGGAGGCCGAAAACCGGCCAAACUUCCAUCGCUUAAUCGACCUUCAAAACGUAGAAAUCUCUCGAAUCUAACACAACAGGCAGCAAGAACAGCUCGAGAAGUUGAGAAAGCAUACCUGGAUCGACGAAAAUGGUGGCCGGAGGAUUCCAAACGAGCUCCGUAAAUUUUGGGUUAAAAUCGGUCGGAUUUUUGCAUUUUCUGGCGAUCACAGGUGGUUCCAGCGGCCGAGAUUGGUCGGGAUGGAAAGAGGGAGAACGCCCGGUUCUUUUCGAAUCGGUGCCACCCCAAACGGUGGCCGGUUGCGACAGUGGUGGCCCAAAAACCUUGGCGGUGAAUAGUAACAGAAGGGCUGUUUCUUGCGAAGGGAGAGGGAGGAAGAAGGAGAAAAAAUAAAAUUUAAAACUGCCCGGGUACUGUAGUAAAAUUUUAAAAUUACCUUUUCAUCCUUUUCGUUUUUAGACUUUUCCUCCUUCGUUACAACUCGAAAUUGGGCAUGCCGCAUGUCUACAAAUUCGUAUCGACGAGCUCUACGUAACGGUGCCACUUACUUCUCCAAAAUCUUUCCGAAUCAAAAAAUAACCAAAAUACCCUUACCCAAAGGGUAUAUUCGUAAAUUCAUAUUUAAAUUAAUUUAAUAAUUUAAUUGAGUAACCAAAUUAGGGUCGGGGUGUUACAUGUUUUGCAUAGUUCUUCAAAGAAACACAUAUGGGUCAUUGACACCGGAGCCACUGAUCACAUAACCUUUGAUCCUGGAUAAAUUACCUCUCAUACCCCGUCUUCUUAAUUGGUGGUGUCUAAUGCCAAUGGUAACCCCUCCCCAGUAAUUGGGGAGGGUUCCCUCUCUCUCUCUCUCUGACUCCCUCACUUUGGAUUCUUUAUUUAUUGUUCCAUCCUUACAUCAUAAUUUCUUAUCUGUUGCCCAAAUUACUACGGCUUUGAAUUGCAUUGUAACCUUUUGGCCUACUCAUUGGGUUUUUCAAGACAUUCUCAACAGCAAGACGAUUGGUUGUGGUACUAGGAUGGGCAGACUCUAAUAUCUGGACUUGGCAUCUGACAGUGAAGCCAGCCUCAGUCACUCUUACAAAAUUGGGGGUACGAGUGUUGAGAAGCAAACUUCCGAAGUAUGGUUAUGGCAUCGCCGACUUGGACAUGCUUCGUUUGGAUAUUUACAAAAGCUAUUUUCUUCCUUAUUUUCCCAGUUAGAUAUCUCCAGUUUUACGUGUGACAUCUGUGAAAUAGCCAAGAGCCAUCGUGUUCCUUUCCCCUUAAGUUCACAUAAAAGUUUGGUUCCUUUUUCUCUUGUUCAUUAUGAUGUUUGGGGCCCGCUAAAAUUACCACUCUCGGGGGAGCUAGAUGGUUUGUCACAUUUAUCGAUGAUUGCACACGUAUGACCUGGGUUUCCCUUCGCCAAACAAAAGGGGAAGUCAAUUCCAAGUUUCAACAGUUCUAUCACAUGGUGGAGACACAAUUUCAUACAAGAAUUCAAGUUCUUCAGUCUGAUAAUGGCAGAGAAUUUCUCUACCAUGAUCUUACUCAGUUCUUACAAGAUCAUGACAUUAUACAUCAACGCUCAUGCCCUUACACUCCUCAACAGAAUGGUGUGGCUGAACGAAAGAAUAAACACUUAUUGAAAAUGGUUCGUGCCUCUCUCUUUGGUGCCAAUAUGCCUCGGUCCUUUUGGGGAGAAGUCGUCUUCUUUGCAGCAUACCUUAUCAAUCGGAUUCCCUCCAGUAUCCUUAAUUUCCAAACCCCCCUUCAAACACUCUACAACCAUAUCUAAAUACCUCUUGCCAAAAACCUAAAACCACGGAUUUUUGGCUAUGUGGUCUUUGUCCCCUUACAUGAUCACUAAAGCAGCAAAUUGGAUCCCCGUGCUGAAAAGUGUGUUUUUAUUGGUUAUGCACCUCAUCAGAAAGGUUACGGGUGUUAUCAUCCUCCUAGUCAGAAGGUCUACACUUCUAUGGCUGUUGUGUUCCAAGAGCACGACAUAUAUUUUUCAGCCGUACAUGAGGAGCAUUGCGAUGCCAAACAUCUCAAAUUUCAAGACUUUUUCCUUCAUAAUUGUCACUUACUGAAAACCAUCGGUCGUAGAAUGCAAGCGACAGGUAGCCGGAGACUGUGCCUAAGAACGACCGGUCGCAGCCUAAGACUCUGCCUGAAAGCGACCGGUCGUCCCCCAGAAAUCCGAAUCUGCUUCAAAACGACAGUCGUCUCCCUGCUGUCAAACUUAGGAGAACAUUGAGGAGUUUUUGAGCGCUCAGGAAAAUUCUUCAACUCCAGUAUCCCACCAAUCACCUGCUGAGGACGUCAUUCAGGUAACCUCUUUUCUUGAAACUGAUAACAUUAAUGAAAUAUCCCAUGAUGAUUUAAUUUCAGAAUGCAUAGAGCCUGCAUAUCAGAUUCCAAGAUGGAAGAACGUGGAAAACCUCCAGUUCACUACGAAGCAGACCUUAAUGGAAAAUGAAAAUAUCCCAUCAACAAUUAUGUAUCCAUCAGCAGAUUAUCAGAAUUAUGGGUACACUUUGUGAAGCAGUUGGAUGACAUACCUAUUCCCAACAAUGUAACUGAAGCACUAGAAGACUCAAAAUGGAAAGAAGCCAUGAAUGAAGAAAUGCGAGCUCUCCAGAAGAAUGGCACAUGGGAACUCGUGCCAUUACCUCAUGGAAAGAAGACUGUCGGAUGCAGGUGGAUUUAUAUUGUGAAACUCAUAGCAGAUGGAUCCAUUGAAAGAUAUAAAGCUAGAUUGGUGGCGAAGGGGUGCACAUCAAGAUAUGAGAUAGACCACCAUUAGACUUUUGCCCCAGUAGCCAAGAUUAAAACUAUCAGAGUUCUUCUAUCUCUAGCAACAAAUCUCGAUUGGCCAUUACAUCAGUUUGAUAUAAAAAAAUGCAUUCUUACAUGGAGACUUGAAAGAAUAAGUAUAUAUGGACUUGCCACCAGGAUGUAACUUAGCUCGCGACAAGGAGAAUCAAGUUUGCAAGCUGAGAAAGUCAUUGUAUGGGUUAAAGCAAUCCCCCAGGGCAUGGUUUGGUAGAUUCACUAAAUCUAUGAAGAAUUUUGGAUAUAUACAGAGUAAUGCAGAUCACACCUUGUUUCUAAAGCGUGAUGGAAGAGGACUUACUGCACUGAUUGUUUAUGUGGAUGACAUAGUCGUAACUGGAAACGACAUAGAAGAGCAAUUAAAACUGCAUAAAUAUCUAUCUCAGGAAUUUGAGAUGAAGAAUCUAGGUGAUAUGAAGUACUUUCUAGGAAUUGAAGUAGCCAGGUCCACAACUGGUAUAUUUCUGUCUUAAAGGAAGUAUGUAUUAAAUCUCCUCACUGAAAUAGGAAUGCUUGGAUACAAACCUGCUAAUACACCCAUCGAGAUGAUUCACAAGUUAUGUGAAGACAUGGAUCAAGAACCAACCAAUAAGGAACAGUACCAACACCUUGUUGGAAGAUUGAUAUAUUUAGCUCACACAAGACCAGAUAUUGCAUAUUCUGUGAGUGUGGUUAGUCUGUUUAUGCAUUCACCCAGUGUGUCCCAUAGGAAUGCAGUUGAUCGGAUCUUAAGAUACUUAAAGUCAGCACAUGGAAGAGGGUUAACGUUCUAAAAAAAAUAGAGAUCUCGAAGUUGUAAUGCUGAUUGGGCUGGCUCCAUUACUGACAGACGCUUUACUUCAGGUUACUUCACUUUUGUGGGAGGUAACCUAGUCACUUGGCGGAGUAAAAAACAAAAUGUGGUUUCUCGAUCUAGUGCUGAAGCAGAGUAUCGAGGAAUGGCUCACGAAGUUUUGGAAUUACUAUGGAUCAGAAGACUAUUGACAGAAUUGGGGUUCAAGACAGAAAAGUCAAUAGAGUUACAUUGUGAUAACAAGUCACCCAUCGAUAUUGCCCAUAAUCCAGUUCAACAUUAUUGAACUAAACAUGUUGAGAUGGAUAGACAUUUUAUCAAAAAAAAAAACUUGAGAAAAAGAUCAUCCGCCUACCAUUGGUAAAAUCAGAAGAUUAGUUGGCAGAUAUCUUAACCAAAGCUGUUUGUGCAAGAGUAUUUUAUGACUCACGUACCAAGUUGGGCAUUUGUGACAUAUAUGCACCAACUUGAGGAGGAGUGUUGACGUGAGUCUCCUAAUUAAUCAAGGAGGUUUACUUCCUUGAUUAAUUAAGGGAUUUAUUUUCCUAUUUUUUAUAUAGUUGAUAAAUCAUUGUAUAAUUAGAAGAUACUUGCCUAAUUCUUUACUGUAUCUAAUUCCUUGUAUAGCACCAUGUAAACUCUUAAAUAUACCUCAUUAUGGAGAAGAAUAAAGUUAACCUAAUGCAUUCAAACCAUAUUCAUAUUUUAGCAUUCUCCUCAUCUCCUCUAAGGUCUCAACUACUCCAACUCGUGAGUUUCUCACUUUCUUAACUAAAUCAUAUAUAUUAAAUUAGUAAUUGUAUCUUUCUUUCCAGUAACGAUUUGUGAAUUUAGGCACAUUUUAAUUAUAAGGUGCACUGUCAUGAAAAUGAUUAUGCUUCGAACUCUUUUUUGCAUGAAGGGCUAGUGGUUGCACCUGCAUGGCUUAAUUUGCACCUUAUUAAAUACAAACCUAGCUAUGAUUGUUAUAAGUUAUGUAUAUUGUUUUUGCUUUAUAUAUAAAGUUUUUGUUUAGACAACUUGUAAUUUAAAUUGAUGGCCCCUUUAAAAAUAAUUAGGCAUGACUAAUUUUGAAAAUUUUAGCUCUAACAUGUGUUUUGAACACUUAUAUGUAUUUGAUAUACUUGUGUUUUUUAUUUUGGCCCCCUCAAUCUGAAAAUUCUAGCUCCGCCCGGUGAUGAUUUUCUAGAUGACCAUGGUGACGGACGUGGAGGGUAUGGCCACGGACAUGGAGGGUAUGGCCAUGGCCACCACGGCAAAGGGGGGCCUUGUGCUGCUGAGACUGAAACCAAGAAUUAGAUAACCUGUUAGUUUGUGACUUACGUUGCAGGUGUGUUGUAAGGGUUGUGGUACAAAAUAAAGUUGUUUGGUUGAGUAAUCUAUAUGAACUCUCAAUCAUAGACUCUUCUUAAGCUUGUUCUCGUGUUCUCUGUAAUGUACGCAUUGGAAUGUGUUCUCUUGUUAUGUGAUAAAAUGUGAUUUAACUUGCUCAAUACAUAUUAUGUCAAAAAUGUUUAGUAUGGCUUGGCUCCUUAAAAUUGAGAGGGAGCACAUCCUCACAACAAACGAGAUUUUGGCACUAGUUAAACUUCACAAAAAUUAAAUUUAAAAAAAAAAAAAAAAAAAGAUUAAAAGAACUCAGAAGAAAAAAAAUUAAAGGAAUUUGCCAAGUGUCAAACCUCUAUUUGUUUUGAGGAGGAACUGCUCCUCAGUUUUAUGGAGCCAAACCUUUUCCUAAUAUUAAUGGAGUUCAUGUAUGACUCAUUUGUUUUGUGUGAUCACCAUUUGGUUAAUGAAUUGUGCGCAAAAUUUAAUAGGAUACGGAUCAUCUGCUAUGAUUUUAGUCCCCUAAUAGAAUGGAUCCUACUUUGGAGCACAUGUGGUAUCGGUAGUUCCUACUCGCACUCACAAAUACAUAUUGGUUGGUCCAUUAAAAUGCAAAUAUCACCUCUCAUAUCAUUAUGCGAACAUUGGGAACAAGAGUAGUGUUUCCACCGUUGACAAGGGAUGGAAGAUCUAGCUCGACGGAAAAAUAAGGAGUAAAACUUAUAGAAGCAUGCAUGCCGUGUAUGUAUUGUUGUUAUCAUGGAUACUAAUUUGGCAAUUAAUUUUCUAAUGGGUGAAUUAAAAAAACAUUUUUAAUCUAUAUAUGUAAAGUUAAAUAUCCUUUCUUGAUGAACAAUUUGUAAUUGCAUCUCUGUAAUUUUUAUGGGUUUGUGUUCUUGGUGGUUGACUAGUCAUUGUAUGAAUGUUGAAUAUGAGUAAGGUUCAUGGAGACAAAAUUGGUUUUGGUUAUGGUUGUUCUAGUUUAUGCGUUCCUCCUUCUUUGACCACAUUUGUCAAGGAGUCAAAUAAAAAAUUUGAUGUUUUAGAGCCAACUAGGACUCAAAGAUUCAUUCCUACUUGUCACCAUUGUGGUGUGAAAGGUCACAUCCAACCUAGGUGUAAUGCUCUAAGGAAUGUGUCUAGAGCAACCAAUGCAAAUGGCUUUAAGAACCAUGUUUCAUCUCUUAAAACAUGUGAGCUUGCAAAAUCUGUUCUUUGUAAAAGGGAUAAACCAAAAAGGUUCAUUCCUACUUGCCAUCAUUGUGGCACAUUGGGACACAUAAGAUCAAAGUAUUUUGAGUUUAGGAAUUUUGAGAAAAAGUCUUUUGUUCAUUUCAAGAAAGUAAAUGAUGACUCACUUCAAGUUGAAGCCAUGGCAGAGGCAUGAGAGGCGAGAAAGACUAUGUACUUUUAUAGUGUUAUCCCCGACUAAUAACACCAUAACAUUCGUGAUAAUAUUUUAAUGUGGAAUAAUAUUAUUGAUCGAAUAUAACAAAAUAGUACUAUCCCCGUUGCGACUACGUUUUUAUCCGUGGACUGCUAGGCUUACCUAGUCUUUAAAAUGCAGUUGAAGAAUUUAUUAUUAUGAAAAUGACGUGAGAGAGGGAGGGGGUCAUAUAUUUUCAGAAUAAUUUUGCUAAAAAACGAAAGCAGAAGAAUUAAUUAUUAUGAAAAUGACGUGUAAUAAAACCACAGGUUGUGUGACAUUGCCGUACAUGCAGUCGGUGAGUCCACAGACGAACAUGCAUUUGUUUUGAGUCACAUUAAUUAAGCAGUGAAUGGGGGCACUAGUUGUCCAUCUUUAUAUGACCCAAUGACUUAAGAUAUCUAUAUAUAUGCAUACGGACUUUAAAAAGUAGAAGCAAUACAGCCUUAGAAAGGCAGUGCGUGCAUGGAAAAAGAUUAUUAGGUAACGAUAUAAAUUUACGGUACCUAAUACAUUAGCGCUAAUUGAUAAUUUUUUGAUACUCUAAUAAUAAUAUUGACAAUUAGUGUCGAAAUAUCAGGUACGAUAAGUGUCGAAUUGAGAAUAUAUUAGGUACGAUAAAUUGAUAUUAAGUAUUUCGUCGGUAGUUGGUAGGUACUUAGUAGCUAUCAAGUAAAUAUUAUAUGAGAUACGAAGAUCAACAUGAAUUAUAUCUUUGUAAUUUAGUAGCUAUGCUUGUAUCUGGUCCUGAUUUGCAUAUCUAUUAUUAGGUAAAAUACUUUGAAAUUAUUGAACUUUAAACAUUUUCAUUAAUCAAAGGGCUAUUAAGAACCCAAAGGCAAAUAUAAUGGUUUACGUGGGUGGGUAUGGAACUUGUGUGUAUUCUUUGACCUUGUCAAUCUUAUUAAUGAGUGUUGGUUGGUGGGGUCCCGAUUUGCAUAUCAAUUAUUAGGUAAAUUACUUUGAAAAAGCACAAAUCGUCAAAGUUUGUGGACAUGAGGGAUAGAUACUGUGGCUGGAUUGUCAACAAUGACAGAGUGAACGACUUUUCUUCAUGGUGUGCUUUAGCUACAUCUUCUAUCCUUCUGCGUUGGUCACAUUCAUGUAAUCUUGUACAUGAAGCAACUUACCACAAAGGCUACCAAAACUUUAAUAACUAUAGGUCCUACUACCUGUGCAUUUUUACUUGACUAAUACAAUUAGUGUAAAUGUCCUUUUACUAUAUAAUUAGGUAUAUCCAUACAAAAUAAAUCUUUAAUCUUGAACAUAUUUAUACAUGAUAUACGGAUUCUAUGACUCACAAAGAAAACCUACCAUACAUUUGUGUUUAUGUUUAAUCUCAUUUUCUCUUUUGUAAUUCCAUCUACUUUUCAUAAGAAUUUGUUUGAACCAAUUUAUAUAUAAAAACUACCCUUGUUUUUAGAUGAUUAUUGUGGUAGGAUGAAAUCAACAAAAUAGACAAACACGGUAUUUCAAGAAAAGACUAUAAUAACAACUAUCUAAUUGAAUGAUCAAAUAGUUUCGGAUCCAAGUGAUUGUCGCAAAGAUGAUCUUUGAAGAAAUAUCUAAAAACUAAAUGGUAUCGGAUUAUUGGAAUGCAAGGUGAGUCUUAUAAGAGUGUCCUUCAAAUAAGCUUAUUUGAGAAAUCCCUCAACUAAAGUCAUAUCAGUCUCCUUCUAACAGUAUAUAUAUACACACCACACCUUUUGUGAAAAUCUAAAAAUACUAAAUUAGGAAUGAAAACUGACAGUUAAAGAACUCUCGUGAUCACUCUACAAGAUUGUGACCUGAAUGAUGAAUCAGCAGCUUAAGUUUCAGCCUGUUUGCCACAUACCUUGAAAGUAUCCCACCCAAUUAAUCACACAAAAACAACUUCUUUUGACUUGAUCACACAAGACAACUUAGCUAGCUUUUAUUGUCCCGCCUCUAAUAAAAGCUUACUUAAUACGUAGUCCCAUCAACCCUACCAUCAAAGUAGGGGUUGAAUUUGGCGCUCUUUAACCUUUAAUCACCACAAGAGUCACAAAUUCUUCUCUUCUCUCUCCUUAUCUUUCCAACCCCACUGAUAUCUCAUAAAGGUCUAUAAAUAGGGACAACCAAGCCAUAUUAUACUCACUCAUCAAUCAUCUCUUGCAUACUUUCAUAUAUACAUUAUCGUGCUUGUUGUUAAGCAAAACAUGGCAUCCUCAAAGGCUUUUCUUCUUCUUGGUCUUGUCUUUGUUGUUCUCCUCAUCUCCUCUGAGGUCUCAGCUACUCCAACUCGUGAGUUUCUCACUUUCUUAACUAAAUUAUAUAUAUUAAAUUAGUAAUUGUAUCUUUCUUUCCAGUAACGAUUUGUGAAUUUAGGCACAUUUUAAUUAAGGUGCACUGGUCGUGAAAAUGAUUAUGCUUUGAACUCUUUUUCUGCAUGUAGGGUUAGUGGUUGUUGCACUUGCAUGGCUUAAUUUGCACCUUAUUAAAUACAAACUGAUCCAUGAUUGUUAUAAGUUAUGUAUAUGUUUUUGCUUUAUAUAUAAAAUUUUUGUUUGUUCUCUCAGAGGAGAGUAUAGUCAACGGUGAUGGCCACGGACAUGGAGAGUAUGGCCAUGGACAUGGAGGUUAUGGACACGGACAUGGAGGGCAUAACCACGGACAUGGAGGGUAUGGCCAUGGACAUGGAGGGUAUGGCCACGGCCACCACGGCAAAGGGGGGCCGGGUGCUGCUGAGACUGAAAUCGAGAAUUAGAUAACCUAUUAGUUUCUGUGACUUACGUUGCAGGUGUGUUGUAAGGGUAGUAGUACGAAAUAAAGUUGUUUGGUUGAGUAAUCUAUAUGAAAUCUCAAUCAUAGACUCGUCUUAAGCUUGUUCUCGUGUUCUCUGUAAUGUACGCAUUGGAAUGUGUUCUCUUGUUAUGUGAUAAAAUGUGAUGUAACUUGCUCAAUACAUAUAUUAUGUAAAAAAAAUGUUUAGUAUGGCUUGGAUGCUUAAAAUUGAGGGGAAGCACAUCCUCACAACAAAUGAGAUUUUGACACUUGUUAAAAUAACUUUACUUUUUCCUAAUAUUAAUCGAGUUUAUAUAUGACUCAUUUGUUUUGUAUGAUCACAUUUGGUUAAUGAAUUGUACACCAAAUCUAAUAGAAUAUCGAUCCUCUGCUAUGAUUUUAGUCCUUUAAUAAGAUGAAUCGUAAUUUGGAGCACAUUUGGUAGUUCCUACUCUCACUCAAAAAUACAUAUUGGUUGGUCCAUUAAAAUGCAAAUAUCACCUCUCAUAUCAUUAUGCGAACAUUGGGAACAAGAGUAGUGUUUCCACCGUUGGCAAGGGAUUGGAAGAUCUAGCUUGAUGGAAAAAUAAGGAGUAAAACUUAAAGAAGCAUGCAUGCCGUGUAUGUAUUGACGAUACUAAUUUGGCAAUUUCUAGUGGGUGAAUUAAAAAAACAUUUUUAAUCUAUAUAUGUAAAGUAAAAUAUUGUUGUAGUUAAAUUUUAAAAUAAUUCAUUUAAGAAAUUUGUGGUCAAUUUGUGAUUGCAGAGGUUCAAGAGAUUUGUGGUCACUUACUGUUGGAUGUAAAUUUAACGGUUCACUUACUCUUGCACUCCUUUUAAGAAACUUUUUUGAACUAUUGAAUGUUACAUCCAAAGGUGGGUGAUCACAAUCUCUUAGACCCCUAUAAUCCAAGAGAUCGAAACUAUUAAUAAGAUAUACAAAUGCAUGAACUAAUUUAGUUAAAUUGAUAACUCGAGGACUAAAGUGGCGAAUGAGUUAAAACAAAAGAACCAUUUCAACAUUUAAACCGAAAAAAACAUUUUGAUUAUGUGGGCUGCUUUCGCAAGAGAUAAAUAAAACCUCUUUUUCUACGACCUAGUGAUUUAUAAUAAAAUAUUAUUUAUCUUACUAUUUCUAUUGCAUGCUGCCAUAAGCCUUAUAUUUUUAUAUUGUAAUAGAGGUGAAACGCGUCACUCAAUGACUUUCAGUAUGGGCAGUAGCAAAAAUAUUAGAAAUUAAUUUAUGCAUAUGCUCAGUGCUCAAAUUUAAGGGAUGAAGCCACGUGAAGAUUUUGUUAUAUAAAAACAAAAAGAAGCAAAAAAGAAAAAUGGAAGGCCACCCCACGUGAAAUGGUGAAGCAACGGCUACAAUUACAAAGCAAACCAUCAACAAAGAAAUAAAAAAAAAAAAGCAAAAGGAAGCAUCCAAUGCAAAUUAUAAAAAAAAAAGUAAUAGGAAACCGUGCGAAUGCCAGUCUUCAUUCUUAAUAGCUACCAUGCCAAGUAUAUCAAUUUACGGUGCCUAAUACAUAGGGGUGGCAAUUUCGGAUACGACCCGAUACACGACUCGAAACCCGCACGAGAAAUUAGCGGGUUCAACCCGCACGAUAAAAAAACGGGUCAAUUUCGGGUCAACCCGUUCUGACCCGUUUAAUAAACGGAUGGGUUUCGGGUCAACCCGCUAACCCGCUAUAAUACCUAUCUAACCCGUUUAUUAAACGGGUCGUGUCAACCUGUGUACAACCCGUCAACCCGUCUCUUCUCCUUUUUUUUUCCUUCUUUCUUCUCUUCUCUCUUUUUUUUUUUCCUCUCUUUUCCUUUCCUCUUCUCUCUUUUUUUCUUCUCCUCUCUUUUUUUUUUCCUCUCUUCAGUUUUUUUUUUUCCUUCUUUCUUCUCUUCUCUCUUUUUUUUUCCUCUCUUUUCCUUUCCUCUUCUCUCUUUUUUUUUUCCUCUCUUUUCCUUUCCUCUUCUCUCUUUUUUUUUUCCUUCUCUUCAGUUUUCUCUCAUCUCUCUUUUUUCUGUCUUACUUUCCUUCAAUCUUCUCUCCUAUCUCUCUCUCUCUCUCUCUCUCUCUCUCUCUCUCUCUCUCUCUCUCUAUUUUUUUCUUUCUUUAGCUUCUCUCUUCUCUCCUCUCUCUAUCUUUUUUUUUUCUUUCUUUUCCUUAUAUUUUCUCUACUCUCUCUGUUUUUUUUUAAUUAAAAUUUUUUCGGUUGUGAGUUUUGUAACAUGCAUGUUAUUCUUUAUGAACCCGUUACACGACUCGAAACCCGCACGAUAAAAGACGACCCGAACCCGACACGACACGUUUAUUAAAUAGGUUGGGUUCGGGUUGAGCAUUCUUGACACGUUUAUUAUCCCGACACGACACGAACCCGACACGACCCGACCCAUUGCCAGCCCUACUAAUACAUUAAUUAGCACUAAUCGAUAAUUUUUUGAUACUCUAAUGAUAAUAUCGAUAAUUAGGAGUGUAUCCAAUUCAAAUUUUUAAUCACUUUUAUAGAGUUUAAAAGUUUGAAUGUAUUCAAUUUAGAUUUUUAAAGAGUUUAUAAAAGUCUAAUGGUAUUCAAUUGUGACUUUUAAAAAGUAGUUAAAGUAGUUAAAAGUUUUGUGGUAUCCAAAAAGUUAAUUAUUUUAAAAAAAGCUUAUUAAAUGAAUGACUUUUCUAUAAAAGUAUUUGAGCUAAUUGUUAAGAGCAAAAGUCUUGUUAAUUUAUACUAGUGACUUUUAUAAGUAUUUAAGAAUUUUUCAACUCUAUAAAAAUUACUCAUUUAAAAAAAAUCUUUAUAAGUAUGAAUUGGAUACACUUAAUAUUGAAUUCAUAAUAUAUCAGGUAUUGUAAAUUUAUAUUCCGUAUCAGGCAGUAAGUAGCUAUAUAGCCAUAGUUUCGAGUAAAUAUUAUAUGAGCUUUGAAGAUAAUUAACAUUUAUUCUCUUUGUACUUUAGUAGUUGGGGUUGUAUCUGGUCCUGAUUUUGCAUAUCUAUUAUUUGAUAAAGUCACCUCUGAAAAAGCACAAAUCAUCAAAGUUUGUGGACAUGAGAGAGAGAGAUUACUGUGGCUGGAUUGUCAACAAAGUGUGAAUGGCUUUUCUUCGUGGUCCUUUGGCUUCAUCUUCUACCCUUCUGCGUUGGUCACAUUCAUGUAAUUUUAUAAAGGAAGCCACGUACCACAAAGGCUACCAAGGGCUGAGUUGGAAUCCCAUUCUAAGUAAGGAUUCUUAUGGUUUCAAAUGAUCUAGUUACAUGAGAACUAGGAAAGGAGAACUUUCCCUACUUUGAACCCGACUCUUUGAUAUUAAGAAUGCUGGUUUUAAGAAUGAGUGAUUGCCCUUCUCCAACCCUUAUUGCCCAACCUAAAAGCAGACAGCUAAUGCAAUCCACUUAUUAAUAACUAUUGUAGAUUGAUCUAUAUUAAAUUGACUUGUAUUAAUAUAACUUUAUACACAGUACUAGAUAAUAUGGUAGAGAGAUUCAGAAACUUUAAUAAUUGUGACCACAAAAGGAAACAGUAUAGGUCCUACCUGUGCAUUUUUUCCUGCCUAAACCCUAAACACCUUUUGUUUUUGUGAUCAUCUAAACAUGCUAAAUUAAGAAUGAAAAUUGACAGUUAAAGACUCUCACGAUCACUCUACAAUACUGUGACCUGAAUGCUGAAUCAGCAACUUAAGUUUUAGCCCAUUUGCCACAUACCUCGAAAAUAUCCCAUCCAAUUUCAUGCAACUAAUCACACAAAAAAUAACUUCUUUUGACUUGAUCAAAAAAGACAGCUUAGGGCCCGUUUGAAAACCAUUUCAAUUUUAGUUUUUAGUUUUUUUUUUUUGUUAGAGUAUACAGGAAAAAGAAGGAGAAUGAAAUUGAGUGAAGAUGAGAUUGAGAGAGAAGAUGAAAAGAGAGGAUAAGAGGAAGGAGUGACAAAAGUGAAAACAAAAACUAAAAACUGAAAUAUAUUUGAAAUUGUUUUCACUUUUGUUCCUCCUCCCUCCCAUAUCCUCCCUUCUCAUCAUCUCCCUCAUCUCAAUCCUCACUCCCACUCUCAUUUUUCUCUAACAUUCUAGCACAAAAAAUGAAAACCAAAAACAAAAAUUGAAAUGUUUAUCAAAUAGCCCUUACCUUUCGCGUUCCCACCUUUAAGAGAUGCUUACUUAAUACGUAGUCCAUCUAAAGCAGAAAAAAAAAGCAUUGCUUGGUAAAGUCCAAAACCAAAAGAUUAAAAAUAGGGGUUGGGUUUGGCACUUUAUCCUUUAAUCGUACUUAUCUUCUGAUUUGAAAAAAAAAUCACAAAUUCUUCUUUUCUCUCUCCUUAUCUUUCCAACCCCACUGAUAUCUCAUAAAGGUCUAUAAAUAGGGAGAACCAAGCCACAUUAUACUCACUCAGCAAUCAUCUCUUGCAUACUUUCAUAUAUACAUUAUCGUGCUUGUUAAGCAAAACAUGGCAUCCUCAAAGGCUUUUCUUCUUCUUGGUCUUGUCUUUGCUGUUCUCCUCAUCUCCUCUGAGGUCUCAGCUACUCCAACUCGUGAGUUUCUCACUUUCUUAACUAAAUCAUAUAUAUUAAAUAGUAAUUGUAUCUUUCUUUCCAGUAACGAUUUGCGAGUUUAGGCUCAUUUUAAUUAAGGUGCACUGGUCGUGAAAAUGAUUAUGCUUCGAAUUUGUACUAGAUAUAUAUAGCAUUAGUGCUCUAAAAUAUAUUAAUUAUGAGAAUAUCUGGAUGUAAUUUACUCUUUCUGCAGGAAGGGCUAGUGGUUGUUGUACUUGCAUGGCUUAAUCUAUGAUGGUUAAGUGAUGUAUAUUUUAGAGACUAAUGCUAUUUGUAACACAUUUACUGACCAGAUUGCUGAUCACCUCUCUAAUAUAGAUGGGCCCCACAUAUACUGGUGAGGCCACCUCUAUUAGAGAGAUGGUCAGCAAUGUGGUUAGUAAAUGUGUUCCAAAUAGCAGCACUCUAUUUUUUUCUACAUAUUUUCUUGGGUGCUGAUUUUUCCACUCCUUUUUUGGUUUUUUAAUGCUUUUACUUUAACAUAUAAGGAAGUGUAAGUUGACAAAAUAUGAGUGGGAACAUACAAUUUCUAACAAAAGGAGUGUAAGUGGAUAAAAGAUAAGUGAUAAAAUCAGCUCUCUCUCUCUCUCUCUCUCUCUCUCUCUCUCUCUUUUUCUAUAUAUAUAAAGUUUUUGUUUGUUUUAUCAGAGGAGAGUACAGUCAACUAUGAUGACAAUUUUCUUGAUGAUCACGAGCAUGGGCAUGGGCAUGGACAUGACCAUAGGCACGUCCAUGGCCAUGGGCAUGACCACAGGCAUGGACGACAUGGCCAUGGCCACAAUGGCAAAGGGGGACCUGGUGCUGCUGAGACUGAAACCGAGAAUUAGAUAACCUGUUAGUUUCUGUAUUUAUGCUGCAGGUGUAUCGUAAGGGUAGUAGUAUGCAAUAAAGUUGUAAUGGUUUGAGUAAUAUCUAUAAACUCUCAAUCAUAGGUUCGCCUUAAGCUUGUUCUUGUGUUCUCUGUCAUGUACGGAUUGGAUCACCUUGUUAUGUACUAAAAUGUGAUUUAACUUGUUGAAUACAUAUUAUGUCAAAAAUGUCUAGUAUGGCUUGGCUACUUAAAAUUGAGGAGGACAUCCUCACAAUAAAUGAGAUUUUGAAACUUGUUAAACUUCAAAAGAAAAAAAGGUUAAGGGAAUUCCAAAGAAAAAAAAUUAAAGGAAUUUUCCAAGUUUCAAAAGUCUAUUUGUUUUGAAGACGAACUCCUCCUCAGUUUUAAGGAGUGUAAGUUUUUUCCUAAUAUUAAUGGAGUUUCAUAUAUGACUCAUUUGUUUUGUGUGAUGACCAUUUGGUUAAUGAG